rnacentral:lncRNA from 1 species
UAAGGUAGUCAUGCUAUGGUUUUUGAUAAAUCAGGAGGAUUGUGGCAACCUUGGUAUAUAUUAAGGAUAAGAUUUUUAGCAUUAGAGAAUCAUCAAGCUUGAAAUCCACUCUUUUCUUCUUAAUGCAAAGGCUGGUGCUUUGACUUGACUCUACACGUCCUUCCAAGUACUACAGGUGAGAACAACUACUAGAAGUUUUCUGAAUUCUAUCUCCUUUGUGCCUAUUCAUAAUUAGUGCCUUCAUUUCAUAUCACCAAAUUAUGUUAUUUGGCUCUUCAGGAAGUAUUUGUUUCUGUCAUCAUUCAUUGGAUGUGAGCAGAAGCAGUAUGAUGACAGUAGCCACUCCACAAAAUGUUCUACUAAUUAAUGUUAGAUGUUUGUAGUUCCUUGCUUGCUUAUGCCUUGUAAGCAUCACAAGUAUAUGAGAAUUAUUGUAUUAAGUUUUUUGCUACUCAACACUAACAACAGAAUACUUUGGCCUUUGUAUGACAGGGAUGAACAAAACUCAUGAUUUUGUAUCUCAUUCCAUGCCCCCAAAAUCAAUAUCGGAAAGGUUUCCAGGUAGCAUGUGAGUGUAUGUUUGGGCAUUAGUGGAUUUCUUGAUUCUUUUUUCCCAAAAAAAAGUCAUUUUAUAGAGCACCCUUAAACUAUGGGCAGUGAUGUUGAUUCAAGAAUGUCUAUUUCCAAAGACUUGAUGGUUAGAGAGCUGCAUAGUGUAAAGUAAUAACCGACUACCAAAAGUGAUUUGAUGGAGAAUUGUGUGGCUUAGGGAAAAAUGGAUGAGAAAGGGACCACCUUUAUUUAAAUGAACAAUGAGGCAUAGUUAUGGUGUUUUAACGACUUGAUGUGCCUCCAGUCUCCACAGACAGUUCAUACUUGGUGAGAUUGUUUCUUCUUAGAAUCUUUUAUAAGGUGAUUAUUGAUGUUAGAAAUUUAGCUUUUUAUUGAUAACUUGAUGUCAUAUCCUUUACUUGUACUAAAGAAGACUUUUGUAAUCCUAUUAUUUGAGUAGUGGAAGAAUUUGAACGGACUAUAGUCCCGUGGUUUUUACCCUUACCAAGGGGUUUUCCACGUAAAAUUUGGUGUCUUGCUUUUAUGGGCUGUUGAUUAUUUCACUUUUUUACAUUGAUAGCCAAUUAUGAAUUACUACUUUAAUUAUCAUACAGUGUAUUUAACUUUUAUAAAGAGGGAUAAAAAAAUGAAGUUCUGGUUGUCUAGUUGUAAUGGUAGACUGUAAAGACACAAUGCUUAGUGCUACCUUCUUUUCUUGGUUCUACUGAUUAACCUUGAGGAGUGAUGUCAAAGGAAUAUAUUCAAUACGGUGGGUGUGGAGUUCUAUGAAGAGAAUUGAACAAGUGCAUUUCCACCAUUAUAGAUUCUUCAAUUCCAGGAUAUGCAAGAGUUGGAGUGGAAUCCUUACCAAGUUGAUGAGCAAAACAGGAUCUUCACUUGCCUCCAUGAUCUUUCUGUCAAGAAAUGCCCCAAAGUAUUGAGAAGUCUACCAAGUUGUCUUCCUUGCUUGGAAAAACUUGUGAUUCAUGAUAAUUCGUAGCUUUAAUUCUAAACCCUUCAAGGCUGUGUGAAUUAGAAAUUGUUGGGUGCAAAGAAGUGUAACAUGAGAGUUCUCUUGAUCUUUGCUCAUUCAAAAAAAGGUCUGUCUCUCAAACAUCCCAAAGUUUACUUGUGAUGUUAGGCUUAAAAAAAACUAAAUUUCUUGGAAUUGGUGGUUGUCGGAGAGCUUACUUAUUUGAUGCAGAACAUCGGGGGCUGGUUAGCUUCUGCAGGUUUAGUCUGCAACAUGUCAAGAUAUGGAGUUGCUCAAAGUUGGCCUAUCUUUCAUCAAGUAGCCACUUGUGGGCUUUUGCACAAUUAGUUCACAAUAACACUUGUCUUGAAUUCAUUUUCAUCAGUAGGUGUGGAAAGAUUGAAUACCUACCUGAUCAUGACUGGUAUUGCUAUCUGGAAAAUUAAGUUCCAUUGUUUCAUUCCUUUAUUUGGCACAAGCCUUUCCACUGCCAUGCUAACAAAACCUAUGCAUUAUUGCCAAGCGCCAACAGUUUCCAUUGCAAAAUCUUUAAUCAUAUUGAUAUAAGAGGUUGUCUCCAUGUGACAACCAUUAAUCUAGCAAUUUAACCAAUGACAAAAAUAUGAUCACCACAUCAACCAAAUUCAAGGUUCAACAUAGGCCAAAGGAUCUAAAAUAUAAAUAGUAGUUGGAAAAGGUACAUAAAAGUUACUUUAUUAAACAGAAAUUUCUUGACAACUUAGUCUUAAUUCGCAAAUGACCCCUGACAUGGUACAGUCUAAUAAACUAAUCAUCAACCCAAUAUGAGAAAAAAAGAUAUAAAAUGAGAUGACAAAAAGCCCGUGACAUAGACUUAGACUUACCCCAAAUACAAAACUACAAAAAAAAAAAAAUUGGCUUCUAUUUUGAUGUCAUAUAUUCUGUCCCAAUCCCCCACUCUUUCCUAAAAGUUACUAGGAGAAAGCAACCAAAAAGUCUAGGUGCAGAGCUCACGGACCACUCCCAGCCUCGAAUUGGGCACAUCAAAAAGCACCCUAUGGUUCUGUUGUUGCGUAUUGGCUAUCACAUUCAGCACUGAAUUCACAUUCUCUGGUGCGAAUGCCCUGGCCAAGCAUGUGAUGCUGCUUAACAAAGUUUAGUGACUUUUCAAUCACAUAGAAUAUUGGAUGUUGUUUAAGGGCAAAUUUUGAAAUAGAGUUCUUUGAGUAAAAUUCUUGAAAUCUCCAACUUAAAAUAAAUAAAAAUUAAUUAUAGUUUAACCCCAUAUAUAAUUUACACAUAACUAUACUAGUAGUUAGUAGCUGAGCAAAAAAAAAAAAAAAAUACAGUAANNNNNNNNNNNNNNNNNNNNNNNNNNNNNNNNNNNNNNNNNNNNNNNNNNNNNNNNNNNNNNNNNNNNNNNNNNNNNNNNNNNNNNNNNNNNNNNNNNNNNNNNNNNNNNNNNNNNNNNNNNNNNNNNNNNNNNNNNNNNNNNNNNNNNNNNNNNNNNNNNNNNNNNNNNNNNNNNNNNNNNNNNNNNNNNNNNNNNNNNNNNNNNNNNNNNNNNNNNNNNNNNNNNNNNNNNNNNNNNNNNNNNNNNNNNNNNNNNNNNNNNNNNNNNNNNNNNNNNNNNNNNNNNNNNNNNNNNNNNNNNNNNNNNNNNNNNNNNNNNNNNNNNNNNNNNNNNNNNNNNNNNNNNNNNNNNNNNNNNNNNNNNNNNNNNNNNNNNNNNNNNNNNNNNNNNNNNNNNNNNNNNNNNNNNNNNNNNNNNNNNNNNNNNNNNNNNNNNNNNNNNNNNNNNNNNNNNNNNNNNNNNNNNNNNNNNNNNNNNNNNNNNNNNNNNNNNNNNNNNNNNNNNNNNNNNNNNNNNNNNNNNNNNNNNNNNNNNNNNNNNNNNNNNNNNNNNNNNNNNNNNNNNNNNNNNNNNNNNNNNNNNNNNNNNNNNNNNNNNNNNNNNNNNNNNNNNNNNNNNNNNNNNNNNNNNNNNNNNNNNNNNNNNNNNNNNNNNNNNNNNNNNNNNNNNNNNNNNNNNNNNNNNNNNNNNNNNNNNNNNNNNNNNNNNNNNNNNNNNNNNNNNNNNNNNNNNNNNNNNNNNNNNNNNNNNNNNNNNNNNNNNNNNNNNNNNNNNNNNNNNNNNNNNNNNNNNNNNNNNNNNNNNNNNNNNNNNNNNNNNNNNNNNNNNNNNNNNNNNNNNNNNNNNNNNNNNNNNNNNNNNNNNNNNNNNNNNNNNNNNNNNNNNNNNNNNNNNNNNNNNNNNNNNNNNNNNNNNNNNNNNNNNNNNNNNNNNNNNNNNNNNNNNNNNNNNNNNNNNNNNNNNNNNNNNNNNNNNNNNNNNNNNNNNNNNNNNNNNNNNNNNNNNNNNNNNNNNNNNNNNNNNNNNNNNNNNNNNNNNNNNNNNNNNNNNNNNNNNNNNNNNNNNNNNNNNNNNNNNNNNNNNNNNNNNNNNNNNNNNNNNNNNNNNNNNNNNNNNNNNNNNNNNNNNNNNNNNNNNNNNNNNNNNNNNNNNNNNNNNNNNNNNNNNNNNNNNNNNNNNNNNNNNNNNNNNNNNNNNNNNNNNNNNNNNNNNNNNNNNNNNNNNNNNNNNNNNNNNNNNNNNNNNNNNNNNNNNNNNNNNNNNNNNNNNNNNNNNNNNNNNNNNNNNNNNNNNNNNNNNNNNNNNNNNNNNNNNNNNNNNNNNNNNNNNNNNNNNNNNNNNNNNNNNNNNNNNNNNNNNNNNNNNNNNNNNNNNNNNNNNNNNNNNNNNNNNNNNNNNNNNNNNNNNNNNNNNNNNNNNNNNNNNNNNNNNNNNNNNNNNNNNNNNNNNNNNNNNNNNNNNNNNNNNNNNNNNNNNNNNNNNNNNNNNNNNNNNNNNNNNNNNNNNNNNNNNNGGGGGAGAAUCUCUCUGGUGUAGGGCCGUUGAGAUGGUGAGGCAUUCACGAAGAGAGAGGAGGGUCCAUUUAGGGAAGGGGGAGUUGAGGGUGUUUUCCUUCCCUUGUGAUUGUGAUUGUUUCAUUGAUUUGGUGAUUAGGGGAGGGGGAGAGGAGUGUGUGAGCUAAAGAGUUGGAAGAGAGGAGUGUUGUGAGUUUGAGGUGUUAGAAUUGUUUGGUUUCUCUGCUGUAUUGUUGAUUCUUUUUUGCUCAUCCUCUUGGGCAAUACCAUCCUAUGGUUCAUAUGCCUCUCUCAAUUAGGUGGUGCACUGCAAGCUCAUAAGACACUAUUGUCAAAGGAUUUCUGUGUUGGAUCAUGGGAGUUUUCUGGUUGCUUAGUGAUCUAUCUCCUGUAAGUUUAUUUUGAUCUGGCUGGGUUUGUUUUCUUGUGAAUGAGUUGUUCUUCCAUGGCUCUAUUCCGAAUAGGAAGGGGGAUGCUUGGAGACACCUUUUUCGAGAGCUCAAGUUCUCCUUUUCCUAUUGGAUCGAGAUUUGCUUGAUGCGGUCUUGUUCUUGUUUUUCUGGAGCACCGCUCUUUUUGCACCCUCUCUUAAGUUUGGGAUUUUCUCGUUGAUGCUUUAUGGAUCAGUAUCUAAUCACGAAUGGAUUCCAGGGGAGAUGCUUUUUUGAUGUGAUUAUGUGGUAGAUAGCUCUUUGUCUUUUUGGUUUCGGCUCCCUUUCUGAGAAGGGCCUUUAUGAAUUCUUGUGGAUAUGCCUAGCUUCUCUUCGGGCAUUUGAAUUGCUUGUAUUGGUAGAGAGCUACCUAGUUUUGUUUUUUGACUAGUGUGAAAAAGAAUUGCUUUCAACACUAUGAAGUAGUUCUUCUUUUGUAAUUGUAUUUAUUUUUUACACACAAGCUCUGUGCUAGUAAAGGUCUUUAACAAUUUUUGAAGACUUUAGAUGGCAUGGAAGCUUAGUGCUCAAUAAAAUCACCUUUCAAAAAAAAAGAUGGUGACUAAGGCUUGAGUUUUUCUGUUUUAUUUUUUCUGUCGUCUUUUUUCUCUUCUUUUUUAGAAAGUGCAGCACACAUAUAAAAUGUAUUUAGAGUUAAGUUAAAAUGCUAAUACAACUUUUGAUUUAUUGCAUUUUAAUCAUUCCACUUAAUUAAACAAUUUAAUUAAGUCCACAUUGGAAAUUCCUAAUUUUCAAUUAAAUACUAGUCCCAUUUUAAUUUCACAUUGUCAUCUUAUUGUGUGUGAUCCAUUAAGUCCCCAACAUAUUAGUAAUAAAUAUAAAUCAAUUUUGAACUGGGGUCCAAGGCUAUUCCGAUUCCUUGAUUGCUGGCUCUCAGUGCCUGGUUUCAAAGAUAUGGUUGCUCAAAAAUGGUCAUCUACUCCUGUUAAUGGAACUUCUGGUUUUUGUUUGAAGGUCAAGCUGAACAGACUUAAAACCCAUCUUAAGCAUUGGAACAAGGUCUCUUUUGGUAACAUUGAUGACACUAUUAAUGAGCUUGAAAACAAAGUUGAAGAAUUUGAUAUUAUUUGCAAUCUAAAGGACCUCACGGAUAAUGAAUGCUUAGCCAAAAAACAAGUUGUCCAGCAGCUAUGGUCAUCUUCUAGGCAGCGCGAAUCAAUUUGCGCCAAAAAUCGAGAAUUCAGUGGCUAAGGGAAGGUGAUAAAAAUACACGUUUUUUUCAGUGCAAGGCCAAGGCCCGUUCUCGUCGUAACUACAUCGCUGGAAUCACAAUUAAUGGUUUAUGGAUCUCUAAUCCGGCAGAGGUACGACAAGCCACUUUGAACACUUUCGAAACUUAUUUAAUUGCAAUCAAUGGUCUUGUCCGAGUGUUGAUGGCUUUCAAUUCAAAAAGAUCAGCUCUCAUGAUGCUCAAAACUUGGAGGCUCCAAUUUCUAUGGAGGAACUCAAAUUUGCUAUAUGGAGUUGUGAUGGCUCUAAAGCCCCUGGGCUUGACGGAUUCAACCUUAACUUCUUCAAGCACUGCUGGUCCUUUAUCAAAUCUGAAUUGUUUGACUUCAUUUCUGAUUUCAUGACUCGUGGCAAGCUUGACAAGGGUAUUAACUCAUCAUUCAUUGCUUUGAUCCCCAAGACACCUAACCCAACUGCUCUAACAGAGUACUGGCCUAUUAGCCUCAUCAAUUCCCUUUACAAAAUCCUUGCUAAGCUGCUGGCCAAUAGGUUCAAAACUAUAAUGUCCAAAGUCAUCAGUGAUCAUCAAAGCGCAUUCAUAUAGGGCUGCCAAAUUACGGAUGGCAUAAUGUUGGCCAACGAAGUCAUUCAUAGCAUGAAGCAUCAUCUUUACAACAAAUGAGGUAUCAUUAUCAAACUUGAUUUUGAAAAAGCUUUUGACUGUGUUGAUUAGAACUAUUUGCUUCUUGUUAUGCGUGCUAUGGGUUUUGGUCAUAGAUGGUGCAAUUGGAUUUUUAAGUGUAUCUCCACUAUCAGACUCUCUGUGUUAGUCAACGGAUCAGCCACCCCUGAGUUCCCAUGAAGCGAGGACUUCGCAAAGGUGAUCCUCUUUCUCCCUUUCUUUUUGUCAUGGCAAUUGAAACUCUUCACUUAUCUCUUGUGAAGGCAGAAUCUCUUAGGCUUUUUUGAGGCAUUUCAAUCACAUCCUUCGGCCUUUCCCUCUCUCAUCUACAAUUUGUAAACGACACUAUCAUCUUCAUGCAUGCUGAUACCCAAGGAGCUCUUAAUCUAAAACGGAUGUUACACUAUUUCGAGUUAGCUUCGGGCCUUCACAUUAAUUUUCAAAAAUCGUCUGCUUUCCUAAUUGGUAUCUCGGACUCUUUGGGUAACGAACUAUCAGCUCUUUUGCAUUGCAAAGUUGGUUCUCUUCCUUUAUCCUACCUUGGUAUUCCACUUGGCGCCAAUCCUAAAAGAGCUUCUACUUGGGAUCCAAUCAUUAACAGAUUCAAGAAAAAGCUUGCACUUUGGCAGAGAAAGUAUCUAUCUCUUAGAGGUAGGGUCACACUUAUUAACUCUGUUCUUAAUUCACUACCACUUUAUUAUCUUUCAAUCUUCAAAAUGCCCAAAAGUGUUCUUCAAAAAUUGGAACAGUUAAAACGAUCUUUCUUAUGGGGCGGAAUAGCUGACAAACGAAAGGUCUCAAAAGUUAAAUGGGCCACGAUAUGCAAGCCCAAAUGAUUUGGAGGAUUAGGAAUCACCAACCUAUCCUAUAAAAACCUUGCUUUACUUGCAAAAUGGUGGUGACGUUAUGGGACGGACAAAAAUGCAUUAUGGAGAAGACUGAUAAUGGAAAAAUACAGCGUAGGACAGCCUCACUGGACACCCUCAUCAUCCAGCACAACGAGAAUGUCUUCGGUAUGGAGGAGUAUUGUUCAACUUCCUUUUAUUGAAGGGAUGCAAAAUCUGGUUGGUUUUCAUGCCUGUCGUUGGAUUGUAGGUAACGGUGAGACUAUUUUUUUCUGGUUUGACAAAUGGAUUGAUGACAUUCCUCUUGCAUCUAAAUUCCCUAGACUCUUCUCUUUGGCUAUUGACAAAGACAUGAGAGUUCUUGAUGCUUGUCAGAAUGGAUUAUGGUCAAUCAAUUUUAGACUCGAGCUGUAUAGUUGGGAGAAAGAGGACUUGGGCUGGAUUCUAACUCUCUUUCCUUUAUUUCACUUGUGCCAUUGAGAGAUGACAAGCUGGUCUAGACGCAUGAUUCUAAAGGCUCUUUUUCAAUCAAAACUCUUUGCUCACUAUUGGACUCCACAAGUGACUCCAUCAUGGUCUAGUUUCACUCCAUUUGGAAAUUGACUGUUCCCCCAAAGAUCCAAUGCUUCCUAUGGUUGGCGAUCCUCAACUCUAUCCCUACGAAAGUCUUCCUCUCUUCAUGUGGAGUCUGUUUCUCCCCCGACUAGCUUCGUUGUGUGUGGUGUGGCCAAUUUGAGGAAUGCUGUUCGCACAUCCUUCUCACCUGCCCAUUUAGUCGGAGAGUUUGGGGAUAUGUUCUUAAAUGGUGGGGAAGCUCUUGGUGUUCUUCGUGUUCUUUAUCCUCUUUUAUGCAAGUGUGGGAUGGUUGCCCUUUUGGGGGUAUUAUCUAUAAGAGAUGGUUGAUUGUUUGUGCUGCUUCUUUAUGGUCUCUUUGGCUAGCGCGAAAUGAGACAAUCUUUAACUCUAAAGUAUGGGAUGGCCUCCAAAUUUUUUUCCUCAUCAAAUUACACUUAAUGUUCUAGAUACGAGCUUUUAAAGGUGUCGAUGCCAUUGAUGAUAUGGGUUGGUGGAUUGACCCACGUCUAUCUUCGAGGAAGAAAACACCACAUCACCAUCGCGUGGGCACUUCAUGGUCUCCACCCCCCACUGGUGAAUUCAAAUUUAAUGUCGACGGCUAGGCUAAAGGCAAACCAGGACCUGCUGGUUACGGCAACAUCCUUCGAGAUUCUGAUGGACAUGUUGUUGGCCUUUUCUUUUGCCCUAUUGUCUUACAUGACUCCAACUUUGUAGAGCUUAUGGCCAUUCUUAAGGCUCUUAAACUCUUUGCCGCUACUCCUUAUACAUCAUCUCCCUUAAUCAUUGAAUCUGAUUCAUGCGUUGUUCUCUCGUGGGUUUACUUAGUUGAAAAAAGACCGUUGGACAAAUGAAGUAUCUUUAACGAGUUAGACUCUCUUCGCGUUACGAUAGGUACGGUUUCUUUUAAGCAUAUCUUUAGAGAAGGAAAUGGUUUUGUUGAUUCCUUGGCAAAGUAUGGUGUUAAUUAUAACACAUCAUUUUCUGCUUGGUGGUGACCUCAAUGGUCUCUUUGAUUCUGACCUUUUUUGUUGUUCUUACUCUCUGAUAUUUGGAUCACCACAUCCUAUUUUUCUCACCAACUUUUCGCUGCUCUUUACUGUUCUGUUUUUUUAGUUAUUUCAUAGGCAAGGCUCUCCUCAGGUUUUUCUUUUGCCUUUGAUCUUUUGUAACAGUGAGUACCUUUCAUCUGUUACCUGCAGUUGUUGUUCCUAUGGCUGACAUGCCUUCUUUUGUACUUACUAAUUAAUCUUAAUGAAUGGCUUAGCAAAAAAAAAAAAAUCAAUUUAAUUAAGAAUUUAUAUUUAUAUUUAUAAAUCAUGAGUGGUAUCUAGCAAUACAUCAGGACUACCAAAUGUUAGGAAAGUCAAUAUGGUUUGAUUAAAUUUUAAUGUAUAGUAUUUUAGUGUAGUUCGAUCUUUUCAUCAUAUAUCCCCAAUAAAUAAAAAGCUUGACUCGGUGUCUACUUUUUAACUUAUCCAUAUUAGUCAUACAGCUUCCAUACUGACCUAUUAAGAUUGCCUUAACCAAAGAUUUUCAGUCAAUAUAAACUAAGAGCAAAUGAGAUAUAUCUUCUUCUAAUUUAUUUAUGGAUAUAUAAAAGCUUGUCUUUUGUUCCUGCUUCUUUGUGUUGAUCUUUUUGGUUGGAAGGGGUCAAGCUGAGUGCUUUCCUUUUAUCUCUCGACGUUUUGUCUUUAAUUUAGGGGUAGGGUAAUCUCUUUUAGUUUUUCUUUUUUAUUGAUUUCUUGUUAAGCUGCCUUGAUCCUGUUGAGCAGCUAUUAUUUUGCCAAUUGUACAGUUGUUUUGCCCGAGCCGUUCUUGAUAUGCCAUAGGUAGUCUUUGGUAAUUACAGCCUUAGACCAACAAUGGCUAUCAAUGAGAUAAUAUAUGUUGCUUCAAUUCUAUUAAAGAAAAAGAAAACAAAUAAUCAGGACAUGUCAGCCUAUGAAAUUUAGCUACCAAUAAAAUUGAGAAUUGAGAACAAAGAACUAAGGAUGGAUUAACAAAUGAAAAAUUUUUAAAGGAGGGAAUGAAAAGCAUUAGCAUUUAUCCUUCAUAAAAAUCCAACCACAAAUUACCCAAAACAUAAUUCUUCAACUUUAUGCAACAAUCAAGUAGCUAGUAGCUCCAUUCUAUUUUAUUUUACUUGACUAGCCCUCAGAUUAUUUUUUUUGUUGGUACAUAUGACGAAUAGAGCAUGAUUAACAGAAUUGAACCACAGAGUACAUCAUGAACUAUUUGAGUAUUUAGUUCAAUAACAUUUAUAUUUUUUUCAAAUUUGGAUUAUUUUUCCCUCUAAAAAACAAGACUAAAAUGAAAUAAAAAGGUACUCAGUCUUAGUGACGGUGGUAUAUUCCUCGAUUGUCACCUUUCUUGGUACCUUUAUUUCCCCUUGAGAGGCAGGAUUUGUAAGGUAUCCUCCUGCAGAGAGCCGACUUGUUUGGGUUAGAAGUGCCCCUAAUCACAGUGCGACGCCUGCAAAGCAUUCUUCCAAUGUCAAAGUCAAACAAGAACUCCAACUCCAAGUUAUUGUGUGCAAAAGUGGCAGUGUGAUGGAACUCCUUCAUUGAAGUAGCGGUUGCUCCAUGUCACGACCCAUUACUCCCCUCGAGCCCGUGACAACCGUCGCGGUGUCCCGGUAGACACUCAUUACCCAGAAUGUCAACUCGAAACCCCGCAAGGCUUUACUAUCAGUUUUUCAUUUCCCUUGUGAGCAACCAUUGUCAAAUAUCGUGUCAUAAAAGAUUUUUAGCUGUUUCCAACUUAAAACAAAUAAAAUAUUAAUUUUCGUCUCACAGGGGUAUUUUGGUCAUUUUUUCAAAAAUUUUGAAAUCCGCUAAAAAUGUAGUAAGCGAGUACAAAACACAUAUUUCAAAAUCAAAAAUAAAUUUAGAUGUCUAAAACAUUCGUUUAAAACGAAAUUAUGAUUAUUUGGAUAUAAUAAGAAAAUGAAAUAAAUAUUAAGUAAAAUAUUCUAUUUUCUUAUUAAACAAUAUUUUUAGAGUUAUACGUAGAUAAUUUUUGUAGCGUAAAAGCAAAGUAAAUUCAUACAUACUGUAAUACAGUAAAUCAGAGUAUUUAAUUUAAUUUACAAUGACCAGUGAGCCCCCGAAUAACCAAAAGUAAAGAGGACUGUGAACCUACAAUUUGAAGGAAUGCAAAUCCAAGGGUAGUCCUCGAUGAACUCAGCUAUCUACAGCCUAAUCUGAACCUAAAAUGGGUGAAAAGGAGAGUGGUGAGAUUUUAUAAUCCCAGUGAGUAAACAAAUAUCAUCUGAAAUAUCUAAAGUCGAGUAAAAGGAGACAAUUAAAAUACUUCAUCUCAAUAUGUAUUUCAUAACAUAAACAUUCAUUUCAUUUAAAUAUUCAACAUGGCUUAUGAGUAUCUUAAAAGCUUGGCUCCUGCCAAAAUUAUUCUCGGGGAUACCUUGGCCGAGGCAUCUAACCGAGUUCGCUAAGGCUGUUAAAAAGUUCGUAUACACGUAAACAUAUUUUUAGUUUGAAAAACACAGCCAUUCCUUGGCGUUAGCGGAGUUCAUCAUCACGAGGUGGUUCGGCGUGACGUGAACUCUAUCCAUACCUCAAAAGAUACCCUACGCGCCUCUCCAACCGAGGUACAUAUAUAUAUCCAGAUUUCGUACCCCUCUAAUAGGUUGGUCCACAGAACCCGCCCACUGCAACAAGCUAAACCCACCAUACAAUAAAAUUUUGACAGCAUGACAUGACUAAUAUAGUACUACCCAACCUGCAAGUGUAAAAUAGAACAAUUCAUACAGUUCACAAAAAUACAACCCAGCCAGUCAUGCCAACACAUUAACAUAAGCCAUCAAUUCAAAUCAUAAAUUUACAACAUACCGGUGGUCUCUAAUUACUCUAUUUUCAAAAUUGUUAUUCAAUUUCAAGAUAAUUUAUAAAAUCUUUCCAUGUAAACACAUUCUGUUUGUAAAACACAACAAUUUACCAUUUAAACUCAUUUUCAUAAAAUUUCACCAAAACCGAUUAAAAACACACUUUAGAUAAUUAAAAUGAUAGUAAGGUUACUCACUAUUUCGGGAGUCGAAUUUCUAAAGUACUCUGACUACCGAUCCUCGGAUACAAUUUCCUAGCCUUUAUCGGAGGAUUCACCACCUAGACAUAGUACAAAAUCGAAAAACUUACUACAUUGGUACUAAAUUGAAAUUAAACUAAUUUAGACUAUUAAUGGAUGAUAUGGAAUGCAAAAAUGUCCGAAUAGCCGUUUAAAUACGAUAUUCGACCUAAUUCGCACUAUUCUUGGUGUAAUUGGCUAAAACCUCCAAUUUAACUCCAAAUCGAUUUCUUUCACUUUUUACACUCUAAUUAUACUUAAAAUACCUCAAUGAUUGUGAAUAUGAUUUAAUUUAUCAGUUCGAACUAUAAAUCACACAUGUCUAUACAUUAGGUAAAAAUUCAGAUUUUCAUGCCAAAAUUUCCCAUUAAAUUUCUAGCCUCACCAAUCAUUAAAUACCACCAAAAUAUCAUGAAAUAUCAUCAAUUUCNUUUUCAUGCCAAAAUUUUCCAUUAAAUUUCUAGCCUCACCAAUCAUUAAAUGACACCAAAAUAUCAUGAAAUAUCAUCAAUUUCAGCCUCAAUAUCCUCCCUAAAAAAUUCGGCCAAUGAUGGGUAAUGGGAGAAAAAUGAAUUUUUUUCUUGUUGUUUAGUUUCUUAGACAUGAUAAACUAACCAAAAACACUAGCAUAACUUAAAAUCAAAUCAAUCCAACUUCAUUCUCUCCCCAUACCCAUUCCAACCAGCCAUGAAUUCACCAUGAAAACAUUGAAAUCUAACCUUGGAAAAUGAAAAAGAAAGCAUUGGGUAGUGUAAAUCACAAGUCAAAAUCAAGAAAUUUUACCUUUAUUAGCUUAAUCCCUUGAAAUCCCACACUUUUUCUUCAAUUUUCCUGCCUAGGUUUUGUUCUUUUUUCCUUUCCUCCUUUGUUCUUCUUUGGCCAGCCAUAUGAAUGAGAAAUGGGCUGAUUUUUACUGAUUUUAAAGCUAAAAAAAAAUGGAUAUUAACUUGACAUGUGUCACUAUUUCAUUGGCCCAUUUUUUUAUUUCUUAACUAUUAAGCUUUCUCUCUCCACCAUAUAAAUCCCUUCAAUUAUCUAUGAUAAAAUUGAGUAAAAUCCAUAUGCUGGACAAGUGUCGGGUGUGUAACAAUUUUGCCCCUGGAAUGAUAAAAUUACCCUUUUACCCCUAUGCAUAGAAAAAUACCGGAAUUACAAUUUUUUUCACUUCUCAACCUCAAAUCAUACUCCAAUAAGUCAAAUGGAGCCAAAAAAUCUUUCCUAAAAAUUCUCAUUUUGUCCCCAAGUGGCAAAUGACCAUUUUGCCUCUGGAUAGUGAAAAUUUUGGUUUGACUCCAAAUUGAUCUUCAAACUCUGAAUUACCAUUUUGAGUCAUUCCUAGACUGUGAAGCUCUUAAUCUCACCUUAAAAUUCCUAUUUGAUCUAGUUCGAGGCUUAAAUUAACUUUGUUGUACCUCUAGGUACAAUACCUACUUUUGUAAAUUUUUCGGGACUCUCCUAGCAUGCAAUCAUGCUAUCAUCACAUGUAUGUCAUGACAAGCAUUUUAUAAGGUCAGGCUUUACACUCCAUGUUGGGUUGUAUGAAGAAGAAUCAUUAUCAUCAUUAGGAUUCCUAGAGGCAAAUCCUUUCCCACUACUCUAAUAACUUCCAUGUUUCUCUCUUUCUUUCUCCCUUCUCUGCCGACUCUUAUUAAAUAGCUACUACACUUUGUCAAUCCUAGGGAAGUUCCGGUCUUAUUUAUAGAGAAAAAAAAAGUUGAGGUGAGCAUUAAAGGUCCAUAUAUAAUUUGGAUAAUACAUUUGGUAUUUUAUUUUUUUCAAAAAUUAUUAUAAAUUGUAACACUUAUUAAUUCCUAAUCCUUUUUAAAAGCGUUUCUUGAGUACUAAAAAUAAAGUUUGUGAUCCUUUUGUUAAUUUUAUUUUUCCCUUACCAUUGUUGUAACCAACAGGGUCCAUGUAUAUUUGUAUUUCAAUGAGAAUCCCAUGUGAAUGCACAAAAAUUUAAACUGACUUAGACCUAAAGAGAACGACAUUCACAUGGUUGUAUGCACUAGUCUUUUUUGCUAAAGCCUACAAAAUCUCAUUUGUCAAAAUGCCUUUCUUCAGCACUAAAAACAAAAUUUAAGUUUUCACAAAAAGAUUUAUAGACAUUUAAUUUGAGAAGAAAGAACAAUACUAGUGACUAUUAUAAGCAAGGAUGUGUUCUCCGCAUAUAAUGAAUGUAGCAUAAUCACCUUGGGCACCCAUUUUUCCAUUAAAACCAAAUCCUUCCAGGUAAAGAGACUUCAUGGACAGAAAUAAGCCCAAUUGUUUCAGUCAGUUAAUUGUUCUAUCAGGAAAGCAUAAAUGUUAACUAGGCUUUCUUGAUCACGAAAAAUUAAUCUCUUCAGUCACAAGAAUUAGGUAAAUGAAUAUUAAUCUCAAAUAGGGGCAGAUAUUCGUAAUCAUAAGAAUCCAAGUAAAAAGACAAGAUGAAAAUUAAAGCAUGUAGGACCAUUUGAUAGAGUAAAAAGACACGAUGGAUAUGCUAGAGAAUACGAAAGAGGAGGGCGGCUGAUGGACAAUGCCAUGGAUUUCCUAUAGAGCCUGUACCAAUCAAGACCCUCAGCAAGGGAUCAUGCGGUUUCCCUCGAAGAAUAAUGAGAUGAAAUUUAGUGUGAAUGGAUUUGUUAAAGGCAAAUUAGGCCCAGCUAGACGUGGAGUCCUUCAGAACAGGAGUGGAAAUGUCAGGGGCCUAAUUUUCCUCGGUCCCUUUGGUGAUUUAGACUUAAAUAGUGUAGAGACAUUGGCAGUCAAAGAGUCUUACAAUUUUAAGGCUUCCAUUGAAAAAAUCAGCAGUUAAGUACUCAAGGAUCUGUGGUUUGUCCAAGCUUAGCGACAUCCUUUCAGAACCUACGAGAGGAAAAGUUUUUAUAAUUAACAGGAGUUAGUGGCUUUGUGGAAAGGAAAUGAAAGUUUUUAGAGUGAAAGCAAGAUUUUCAGAUAAAAUUUGUCAUUUUAUUAUGAAUUAUUGUUGAAGUUAUCACUUUAUUUUUAUAAUUAUUGUAUUUUCUAUUUUAUUGUUUGACAAAUAAUGCAAAAAAUUAACAACAUUUAUUAUUUGUAUAAAUAGAAUAUUUAAUUAAAUAUUUCAAUUUUGUUGAUUUUUGGAAAUUUUAUUAAUUUUUGUUCAAAUAUCAAUGUAAUUGAAAAUAUAGUAACAAAAGUCAAAAUUUAAAUAAAAUAAUAAAAUUGUAAUAUAUCCACUUAUAAUGCGAUUUGAACUUGAGAUAUCAACAUUCUAAGGUCUCGUAGUUGUCAUUAAAAUAACAUCUCGUUAUUUCAACUAAACUUAUUUACAAAGUAAUUUCUCUACUGCUAAGUUUAUUAUAGAAUCCUAAAUUAGGAUUUAGUUUAAGUAGAAAUCCUCUUCUCAAUAGUGAAUAGAAAUGUGUGGAAAUGUUGUAUUACGUAUAAUUAGAAUAAAGGGAUAAACCAGUUUAUAAGCUUGCAUUAUUUGACCAUUUAAUUAUGAUUAAGUAGUUGGGCGUGAUAAAUAUUUAAGUUGUCAAUUUGAAUAUAUAUAUAUAUAUAAUUCUUAUAUGUAUUUUUAAAAGAAAUUAAAUUUAAAAUAAAAUAGGUAUAUAUUAAUUGAGAACAACUUUAGUUGACGCCAUCUUGCUAUCAAACCAAAUGCAUGCAUUUUCCACAAUGGAAAUUGUUAUGGAGUUUCUCCUGUUGGAGACCUUGACUUGGUGUCAAUUUCAAAAUAAUAAAAUCACCAAAUGUGUUGGAAUCUCUAAUUUUUCCAAAUAAUUGGAAAGAAAUUUAAUUCAACAAAAAGACAUUAAUUUGGCGUCAACCCUUAAAACACUCUAUUAUUCAAAAAAAAUUAAAUACUCAAAUAAGCUUCUAAAUUGUACCAGAAAAUUAAAUAAGUUUUUAUAUUUUAUUACGUAUAAUUGAAUUCUGAAUUUUUAUUUUGAAUCAAAUAAAUUAUCUCACUAAUUUUUAACUAAUUUUCCGUUCGUCAAAGGCACAGUUAGCACUUUUAUAAUAAGGAAUUUUUAUUUUCAAAUUCCUUACCCAAUUAUUUUUGGACACGUGCCAAGUAAGAAAGGUAAACAAUAUUUCCUAAGUGGUAACUAUUAUUGCCGCAUGUCAUUGACAUCAACAUAGUGACACAUCAACAUACUAAGUGGCAUUAAAGUGCCAACUAUGUUGUUGACUAAUAAAAGUUAGUCAACAAUUAGUGAGGAGGCUUAUUUGACUCAAAAUAAAAGUUUAGGAAUUUAAUUGAACGCAAUCAAAUUAUAGCAACUUAAUUGGCUUUUUUAGUAUAGUUCAAGGACUUAUUUGAGUAUUUAGCAAAAAAAAUUUGAAUUUUUGCUUCAUUAUCUUAUCUCAAUAAAAAAAUCUGAAAAACCCCUAAAAACACUUCAAAAUGACACUUUGGUCCCUCUUGUUUUAAAAUGAUGUUUUGGACCUCUUAAUUGUUAACAAGAUUAGUCAACAAUUAAAAAAAAAUUGAAACUAAUAUUACAUAAAUAUUUUAAGACAUAAAUACUCUUAUAUUAUUUUUUAAAAUUUAAACAUAUUCUUUUUUUAAAAAAAUCUGCUUAUCAUUCCCUUAAAAACCUUCAUAAAAAAACCUACAAAUUUUGAUUUAAAGACCUAGAAAUUUGAAGAUGUAUCUACCUUGAAAACCAUAAACUCCUGUUUUGAGGUAAAAUCUAUUGUCAUCAAACUUUUUUUUCUCCAAUAUUUUGAGAUUGUUUUGUUUCAUUGGAAAGAAUGUAUUAAAAGUAGAUUUUUUGUUUAAUGAUGGAUAUUUCAAAUUUGGUAGUACCAAGUCAAGAGAUUAAUUCUUACUCGUGAUUACUAGUUUUGUUGAAAAAUUUUUGUCCAAAACUUUUUCUUAAUUUGAGACUAAGGUUUAGGAUGAUGUAAAAAGAUUUUGACUUGAUUACUAUACAUCAAAAGUUUAAGGUUUAUGUUCGAAAUUGCGCUACUUGUUGCUUGAUUAGUUGCCAACGGUCUUGUGCUAAGUUUCCUAUUGAUAUUUUGCACUUUUGCUAUUGUUUGCUGAUUCAAUGCUAAUGUUUUCUACAAGACAAGCUACUACAUUCACAAAUCUCAUUUUAGAACCUUUUAAGUUUUAAGUUUUUUUUUCUUCGUCAAAUAUUGAAGUUUAUUAAAUAUUAAAGUGAAUUUUAUUAAGUUUUAGAGGAGAAUGUGAACAGUUUUUUUAAGAAGGUAUUUGUGUCCUAAAAUAUUUAUGUAGUAUUGGGUAUAAUUUUUUUUAACUGUUGAUUAACGAUGUUACCAAUUAAUAGACAAAAAACACCAUUUUGAAACAAGAAGUACCAAUCUGUCCUUUUGAAGUGUUCUGAAAGGACUUUUUGAAUUUUACAAAAAGAGAACGAAUGGAUAUUUAUAAUUGAAGGUAAUAAUGACCAGAAUAACUUAUUUUUGAUUAUUUUUAAUUUUAUUAAAUAAAAUUAAUUAUUAGCUUUUAUUUAAAUAAUUAAGUUUACACUUUAAAUAUUUUUAUUUUAUAUGUAAUUAUUAUUUCAAAAUAAAUAAAAAAUUAACAUUCAAAUGAAUGAAAAGACCAGAUGGGUAAUAAAGCAUUUAUAGGACCAUUCAAUAAACAUUUAGUUGUGAAUUUGAAAAUAUAAAAUUCUUAUCUAUAUUUUUAAAAGAAAUUAAUUUUAAAAUGAAAUAGGUAUAUAUUAAUUGAGAACAACUUUACUUGAUACCAGCUUGACCCUUUCCCAUUGACAGCAAUGGGAAAGUACACUGUUUUCCCUCCACCGGCCAGUUGUCUCCAUCCGCCACCUGCUUCUCUGUUCAACCGUUGAAGCGUAGGGACCUUACACUGGAUUCGGUCUGCCUUACAUUAUUCAAGAUGGCUCUCACUUGGCCAUUGACUUCUAUAGUGCUUGCCGAUCCGGUUCUGUGUGAUAGGUGUAAAAAUUUUUGUUACAUCAAUCUCUACUCUUUUACAUAAUUUAUACUCCUUCACUUUUAAAAAUUAAAUGUAAAAUUAAUUCUCAUUAAAAAAUCCGAGCACCACUGUACAUGAUAUCACUAAUUUUACGCAAUCACUUAUUUACUCAAAUUCUUAUCCAUAAAUUACGUUUAUUUAUCAUAUAUGAAUUUUUUUCAAAAAUUUAAUGUAAAAUUAAAAUUAUAAUCACAAUCACAUAUUACAUCUUAUUGUAUUCGUCACAAGCAUUCACAUGUUCAAUAAAUAUUAAUGAAUAUCAAUACAUAAGUGUUAUAUAUAUUUUAUUAAAAAAGAUGGAGUAAUUGAAUCGUAUUCUCUAGAUUUAAUAUAAUUUUAAAAUGUAGGACAAUAAAUAAUCAAUUCAUGACAUAAUCAAUUCCUAAUGCGCUUCUAAAAGUAAAAUUUGUGAUCCUUUGGUUUAUAUUUAAUUUUCCUUAGCGUUGUUGAAUCCAACAACCACAUAUGUGAACGCACAAAAAACCUUCCAACCAAAUUAGGAAAAAACAACACUUGACUUGACUUGCUCAGCUUGUCUAUAAACUGGUAACUCUUCACAACCACAUUAAUUCCCUAAGAUUUUGGUUUUUUUUUUUUUUCAUUUCCUAUGAUCACCAAACCCCGAAACCCAAAAAACUCUAGCAACCGAAUUAGACCCAGAAAAAGUUUUCACAGACCAAACUUCAUCCGUUUUAUUCUAAUCCAAUAGCCUACUCUUGGAUUUUCUUUCUACUUCAAACCUCAUCAUUCCUUUGUCCAGGAUAUCGAUCAUGGCUUUCAUUGCAGAGGCUGCUCUCUCUGCUUUCUUUGACUCGUUAUUUGGCAAGUUUUCCUCUUCCUGCUUCAACUUUGUCACUGAGAAACGGGUUCGUAAGGAGAAGGGGCGGAGCCUCCUUAUGUGAUGGGGGGAGGCCAAACUUUUAAAAUUUUUUCCAUAACAUAUAAAAUUUUUUAAAUUUUUUAUAUAUUCUAUUACUAGCUCCCUCAAAACAAUAUUUUAUUUAAUAAUUAAUAUAAAUAAAAAUAAUAAAAUGAUUUCACUUAUCUUACACAACUUUAAAUUUUUUUAAUUUAUAUUAUUAUUUAUAUUUAUAUUUAUAUUUAUUUAUUUUUGUUUUAUUUGUUCAUGUAUUAUAAGUUUCUAUAAAUAUUCUUUCUCAAAUUUUUACAAACCAUUAACCAUAUUCUUUUUCUUUCUUUUUCGUUAUGUAAUAUAUGAUAUCUACCUUCUACUUGCCAUGUUCUUAUUUUUAUAUUAUAUAAAUUUUAUUUUCUAUGAUUUUAAUGUUUAAAAAUUUAUAAAUUAUUAUAUAGUUUUCAAAUAUAAGUUGUAAUAUUACAUUGUUACUUAAAAUUUCAUCAACGUAUUAUUUUUUUUAUUAAUCCUGAUUAUGUAAGAAAAAAUUAACUUGAGUAUAUUUUUUUAUAUGCUUUACAUUUUAUAUUUAGUUAAAAUGAAAUUCUCUUGAAUAUAUAAUAUUUAAAUAAUUCUGAUUAUAUAAAACAAAUUAUUAAUCUUAUCUAUCGUUUUUAACAAUUUAUAUUUUACAAAUUAUAGUUUUAUAUUUAGUUUCAUAUUUCUAUUAUCAAUAUUUUUAUUGUUGAUUGAAUUUAACAUAUUAGGGUUUUAAAAUUUUUAACUCUUAUUUAACUGUGUUUGGCCUUCCUAAUAAAAUUUGGUUAGCUUCGCCCUGAUAAGGAGAUUAUGAAGUGGGAAAUGAUAUUGAGGACCAUCCACACAGUGCUUGGUGAUGCAGAGGAGAAGAAAAUGAAGAACCAGGCUGUGAAGGUUUGGCUGGCUGACCUCCAAGACUUGGCUUAUGACGUGGAUGACAUCUUGGACGAGUUUGCCACUGAAGCUUUGGGGCGUAAGUUGAUGAAAGAACAUCAGGCCAGCACAAGUAAGGCAGAAAAGUUUCUUACUAGUUUACAUCCAAGUUCAAUCAUGUUUAACAAUAAGAUGAUGUACAAGAUCAAAGAGAUUACCGGAAGAUUGCAAGAUUUAGCAACACCAAAGAGUAACUUGCAACUAAGCGAGAUUGACGUUGGAAGGCCCAAGCCAGCUGAAAGGUUGCCAAGCACUUCUCUAGUGAAUGAAGCUACUGUACGAGGCAGAGACAACGACAAGGAGGCAAUACUUGAUUUGCUUUUGAGGGACGGUGGCAUUCAUGCUGGAGUUUCUGUGAUUCGCAUCGUUGGCAUGGGAGGGAUUGGCAAGACAACCCUUGCUCAGCUUGUCUACAAUGAGAGUAGCAUAAGAGAUCAUUUUGAUUUCAAGGCAUGGGUAUGUGUUUCUGACGAAUUUGAUGUUAUUAAAAUAACGAAAACAAUUCUAGAAUCGAUCACUUCCCAGUCUUCUAAUACGAACGAUUUGAAUUUGCUUCAAGUUAGACUAAAGGAGCAGCUAUCAAGCAAGAAAUUCUUGCUUGUUUUAGAUGAUGUUUGGAAUGAGAACUAUGAUGAUUGGACAAAGCUCCGAUCUCCUUUUGAUGCAGGGAUUCCAGGAAGCAAAAUAAUCAUAACAACAUGCAGUUUUAAUGUUUCCUUUAUUAUGGGAACUGUUACAGAUUACUCGUUGCAGAUCGUAUCAAAUGAUGAUUCUCUUUAUACCCUUGCUCAUCAUGCACUAGAAAGAGGGGAUUUUACUGGGCAUCCGGACUAGAAAGGGAUUGGCUUGGAGAUUGUGAAAAAGUGUGGUGGCUUGCCUUUGGCCAUUAAAACGAUUGGAGGAUUAUUGCGUACCAGGGUGAAUCGUGGUGCAUGGAAAGAAAUAUUAGAGAGUGAUAGUUGGAAUCUAAAAGGUAACAUAAUUCCAGCUUUAUAGUUGAGUUACUAUUAUCUUCCUUCACAAUUAAAGCAGUGGUUUGCUUAUUGCUCUUUAAUCCCUAAAGAUUAUGAAUUUAAGGAGGAGGAAAUAGUCUUAUUGUGGAUGGUAGAAGGUUUUUUAAAUGGAGUAGACACUAAAAGGAAAAUGGGAGAUUUGGGGAGCAAGUAUUUUGAAGAACAAGUAUCAAGGUCAUUUUUUCAAGCAUCUAGUGAGAAUGAAUCUCGAUUUGUAAUGCAUGAUCUAAUUUUUUUUUUUUGAAAAGUGGAGUUUAUUAGCCAUUAACCGGUAUACCAUUGAUAGUCUCGAACUGCUGCAGAGACUCUCAUUGGUAUGAAAGGAAACCUGGCUUGGCCAGAAAAGUCUGAACAAAAAGGUUCACCACUACUUACAUAAACUAGCAGCAUACCCUCAUCAAUCAGUAACUUCACAAAAAUAGACUGAAUCUUGCUUGAGAUCAAAAAACAAGCAGCAUAAACAAAGUGGCUAUACGGCCAAGACAUAAUUUCUAAAAUCAACCUCAGACAUGUUGGGUGAGGACUGAUCAUGCAUCAAAUGCAAAUAAAAUGCAACGAAAAUAAAUUUUAAAAUUAAAUUUGCGCCUCACCCUCGUAGGAUCUCUUUCAUGCUAAAUUGAGUACAGAAUUAAAUUAAAAAUAAAAGUAUAUGAUCAGAUCACUUUACCUAAAUAACAAAGGUUGAUGAAUCCUUUGUUAAACCACCAAAUCAGCCUUCGAAAAGCUCAACCACCUCAGUCUGAUUGUUGCAAACCAAAGCUGUCCAAGGAAUCCUUGUGCAGCCUCUAAUGGUGAUCCACACCAAUGAAUGAGAAAAUCCUUCUGUAAGGAUUGAGAGUGCUAAGCUUUGACAAUGUGCUAGCAAAGAUGAGUUUCAUAAACUCAUAAUCCACACAAAAUUGUGGGGCUGAACACACAAAAACGAAGUGAAUGAAAAACUAUUUUUCUUCACCCAAGGAACGAUAAGACAAAAGAAUUUUUAAUGUGCCGUUCACUCCUCUUUUUUUUCCAGCCGUUCUCCACUCUCAUAUUUGGAGGCUAUAGCAAGGUAUUUAUACCUUGGAUUAAUUUUAAACCCUAAUUACAAAACUAUUUUGUAAUUGUCAAUUAAUCCAAUAAUUUGAUUAAAAAAUUUAAUUAAGUCCUUAAGAAGCCCAAUUAACUUAAUUGUUUAAUUUAAUCAAUUAGGCCCAAUAACUUAAUUAAACAAUUUAAUUAAUUAAGCCCAACAAUUUAAUUAAACAAUUUUAAUCAACUAGGCCUAAUGACUUAAUUAAACAAAUUUAAUCAAUUAGGCCCAAUAACUUAAUUGUUUAAUUUAAUUAAUUAGGCCCAAUGACUUAAUUAAACAAUUUAAUUAAUUAGGCCCAAUGAUUCAAUUAAACAAUUUAGUUAAUUAGGCACAACUUAAUUAAACAAUUUUAAUCAAGUGCUUGAGAAACUCAUAACUUCUAAUUUAUUUAAGUCUAACUUAAUCACCUCUCUCAUUUUAUUUUCAACAUUCAUUUUAGGUGUGUGACCCAUUAGGCUUCUAACAUGUUGGCAAUGAACUCAACAUAUAAUUCUUAAGUUAAACUUAGAAUUAGAUAAAUUUAAACAAUUUUAAAUUUAUCAUUAAUCAAGUUAACUACCUAGAGUUCAUAGACCAAGAUUGGGAUCUAGCAAUCCAUCAUGGCCACCCAAAUGUUAGAAGAGUCAAGAUGAUUUGACUCAACCUUUCAAUGAUCAGUCUUUCAGUAUAAUUCAUUCCCUCAUCAUAUAUCCCGGAGAUGAUAAGAGCAUGGUGCAGUGUCUACUCUUAUUGAUCUUCAUAUUUGUUCCUAAAGUUUGAUCAUCAGCUUUAUAAAGACUUAUGAAACUCCUUUCAUAAUCUUCAAUUCGCCUUAGCCAAGGACUUCAAUAAGCUAAUAUCAACCAAGAACAACUAGGAUAUGUCUCCUGCAUCACUUGGGGUGAUGAUUCCUAUCUUGACCACUCAUUUGCCUUCACAUGCUUCAUGCUAUACCCAAAAGCAUUCUGUUUUGGCAUCCUUGGUUAGGCACCCGUAGGGAUGAAAACAAAGCAUAGCACUCUGCACAUAAGACAACCUGGUGUCUCAAGUCUAGGGAGUAUUUACACAAUUGACAUAUGAGAAGUAUUGCAUAGACACUUAGUGAAAUACCAAAUGCACUUCUCAUGGCGGGUCAUGUUCAGUGAACUUGCUUUCCUAGGCAAACACUUACAUUCUAGUUCUAAAUAUCUCUAUACUUCAACCUAUGAGAUCGGUUGCUUACUUUCCAAUUAAGAAUCAUAGAAUGUACCAAUCUCUAGGUAUCAUUGAUGUCUAGUCUUAGUGAUACAUUGACCAGGAAUAUUUUGAUAUUAUGUUUUGAUGCAUAAGGAUCUCAUAGCUGCAACCCAUUAUAGUUUCCUUGCCAGGCAUAUUAAUCUCAUAGACUUCAUCCAAUUAGACUUAUAACUGGUUAUAAUUGAUGUCUUAUUGAUUAAAGAAAACCUUUAAUCAUUCAAUGAAUGAUUUUGUUGCAUGAUUGGAAUCAAACCUUAACCAAUCCCAAUUGGCUGCAGGGCUCAUCCCAACAAGACAGUGACAGCAAUACCCUAGGACCACAAAACAAAAAUGAUCCAAAAUAGAGUAGAGCCUUCAACGUCCCUUGAAGCACUUGAUCAUCAAAGCCAAGAUCCAGUCAUAGUCGAAAAAGUUGACAGCACAUUAACAAAUCCAAGCGAGGGAGGAUCAGCAAAAUCAAAUCGAAACACACCACAGGCAAAGGACCGAGACACAGCUGUAUCGACCUGAAGUUCAUGACCUUGGAGAAGAAACAGCAUCAAGCACACAACUCAAGCAAGAUAGUCCUCGAAAAAGCUGAAGCAAGGGAUAAGCAAAACCCCAUCCAAAAAGGGAACACAAGAGCACGUCAACUCCCAGCGAAAAAGUGAAAAACCAGGCUGCAGGAAAGAAACUAGCGGAAUGGAAAGUGAAACUCCCUUAGAGCCUAUUCCCGUUAAGAAAACACGAAACCUGGACCAAACAUCGAUAGAGAACACGUCCAACACAAGGAGUAGCACCAUCACUUUCACGAAUCGACAAAAAAAGAACCUAAACCCUCCAUGAACGAACUCAAACCAGCCACCAAUGGAGAGACAAAACGAAACACAAAGACACAAGACACACCUGAAGUAAAAAGCCAUUCCCUCACAAACUCGAUCACUCAAACUUGUAGCACUCUCUCCCUCUUUUCAUGCAAAGCAAAAACUCACAGCCUCACCCCUCCAAUCCCCCAUUCUCCCCUCAUCUCUGCCCUUUUCAUUCAGGUAAACACGCUCUUCUUACUAAAUAGCUCCCCACCCCUUAGCUAGAACGUUGGAACAACAAUCAAGAUACUCUCACCCUGCCCCUAAUGUCAAAAAACAAGAAAAGCUCAGAACAGGACGCCAAGCAUUGAAGCCUUAGCCAAGGUAAUGCAUGAUCUAAUUAAUGAUCUAGAUCAGUUCGUUGCAGGAGAAAUAUAUUUUAAAAGGGAGAGACAUGAGGACAUGAAACGUCCAUUUAGUCGCACUCGCCAUUCUUCUUAUAUCAUUGCUGAAUAUGAUGGAAUCCAAAAGUUUGAGCCCUUUUUUGAUGCAAAGUCUUUACAGACCUACCUACCUUAUAUCAAUGUGUACUCUUGAUAAUUUGGAGACUCUUUUAUUAAGGUCUUGUCGGAGAAUUGAGAAGUUAUCCUUAAAAAUAGGAAAUUUAGACAACUUAUAUCAUCUAGGUAUUACUGAUGCAACUUCAAUAAAGAAAAUGCAAAGUGGAAUUGGUAAAUUAACAAAUCUUCGAGUGUUGUCAAAUUUUAUUAUGGGGUAAGGCGACGGAUUGAAUAUAAAAGAGAUGCAAAACUUGUCAAAUCUCAAAGGUCAGCUUUAUAUUUCUGAGUUGCAUGAUGUGGAUGAAGCUCAAUAUGCAUGGGAAGCUAAGCUAUCUAGUAAGCUUGACCUAGAGAACUUAGAAUUAAAGUGGAGUAAAGAUUUCAAUAUAAAUUUAAGAAGGAAAGAAGUUGAGAAAGAAGUGUUGAAUUUAGAUCAACCUCAUAAAGAUAUUAAAGAACUUGCCAUCAAUUAUUAUGCUAGAAUAGAAUUCCCAGAUUGGGUGGAAGAUGAUUCAUUCAAAAAUCUACAAGUUUUAAGACAUGAAGAUAGUCACAAUUGCACAUUGUUACCAGCAGUUGGAAAAUUACCACUUUUAAAACAUCUCUAUGCCAAGGGGAUGAGAAGUGUGAUUAGUGUUGGUAAUGAGUUUCAUGGAGUGAAUGGGCCAAAUGUAUUUCCAUCUUUAGAGACCUUGCAUUUUGAAAAUAUGUUUGAAUGGAAAGAGUGGAAACUUUGUGAAGUUGAUGAACAAGGUAAGAAAUUUUAUUACCUUCGAGAACUCUUUGUUAGGAAUUGUCCGAAAUUAGUCAAAACUUUACCUGAUAACCUUCAUUUUUUAGAGAAACUUGUAAUUCAUAGGUGCCAAGAAUUGGUAGUUUCAAUUUCAAAUCUUCCAAUGCUAUGCGAACUUGAAAUUGAUGGAUGCAAAGAAGUAGUAUUUGAGAGUUAUGAUGAUAUUUGGUCUGUUAAAAAUGUCUUUCUUUCAAACGUUUCAAAGUUUUCAUGUGAAAGAAAAGAAAUGAUGAUGUUAGAGUCAAUCAAAGUAGAAAAUCUCCAAAUUGAUGGUUGUGAGGAGUUGGCUUCUUUGUGGCAAACAAAAUUGGGGUGGUUGGUGCCUUUGAGAUGUCUUCGUACUUUAGAGUUUAAAAAUUGUACACAAGUUGUGCGUAUAGGGGCGGCAAAAAAGGGGAAAAAGAAGAGCUUUCGCAAUUAGAAAUACCAUGCAACAUUGAGCAUUUGAGAUUAGGAUAUUGUCAAGGGUUAGAGAGAUUAUCAAAAACCUUAAACAACCUUACAUGUCUUACAGAGUUAAGGAUUGUAAAGUGCCCCUAAUUGGUUUCACUUUCAACGGACAACUUGCCUCCAACUCUUAGGACUUUGUACAUUGGCAAUUGUGAGAAUUUGCGAUGUUUACUGGAUAACAAAGAGAAUAUCAAUUUCAGAAGCACAUCUAUUCUUCAAUCUCUUGACAUUGGAUAUUGUGAAGCUCUAAAAUCAUUAUCAUCGAGUGGUAAGUUACCCGUUGGGCUUAAAAGGUUGCAUAUUUGUUGGUGUCCAGAGCUUGAAUUUUUACUGCAGAAAAUUGGAAAUAAUACUUGUCUUGAAUGUAUUUCAAUCUGGGAUUGUAGAAAUAUUAAAUAUUUACCCUAAGAAUUGGACAAGCUCAGCCAUCUUCAAGAGAUUUAUUUUAUAAAUUGUCCAAAUCUUGUUCGAUUCCCAGAAGCUCUGCCCAACCUCCACCAUCUUCAAUGUUUGACCAUAAGGAAUUGUCAAAGGGUGCAAUAUUCCUUCGGAGAAAGGGGUUUCCCUACCAACCUAACUUCCCCUUCAGUCGAUGAUCCCAAUAUUAGUAAGGCAGUAAUGGAGUGGGGAUCGCAUAGACCUAAAUCACUUACAAAACUCAAUAUUAGUGGUAGUAAUUGUACAGAUGUAGUGUCGUUUCCUCAAGAGGAGAUAGGAAUGAAGUUGCCCCCUUCUCUCACCAAUCUUAUUAUAAGAGAUUUCAAAAAUCUAAGAAAGCUAUCCUCCAAUGGCUUUCAAAACCUCACCUCUCUUCAAUCUUUGUGGAUCGACAAUUGCCCAAAGCUCAGAUCCAUUCCCAGAAAGGAAAUGCUUCCUUCGCUUUUGCAACUAAGUAUUACGGUUUGUCCGAUGCUAAAGAAAAGGUGCAAAAGGGAUAAAGGAAAACAAUGGUCCAACAUCACCCACAUACCUUGCUUAUAUAUGGAUGAUGAAUUCAUCUACGAAUGACCAAGAGGAACAAUCAGCAUGUCAACACACGUAUUUUAAUCCUGAAAAUAAUUACUAUAUAUGUUAACUAACUUCUUUCAAUCUUUUAUGUACAAAUACUAUCUACACAAAUAUUACUUUGGUUUCAGCAUUAAGUUUUCUUGCAUUUUAUUGUGAUAUAUUUAAUUGUACAAAUAUGUACAAAAGGGAUAAGCCCCAUUUUGUGGUUCGUUGUUUAGUUCUUUUAGCAUGAAAAACAAUACUGCUAGUAAAUUAAUUUCCCCAUUUCCAUAUUAUACUUUGUAAAUAAUUUUUUAUUAGCUAGAUAUCUUUUUGCAAUGAUAUCUACUCAUCUUUGAAUCAUCAUUGAAUAUUGGACUAAAAUGGGAAUUCUGCAGCUCCAGUAAUCGAACAAGAUGUUGUACCCAUGUUUUAUCUCUAUUUUUUCAUUCUGCCUUCGAGGCCAUAAGCAUCCACAUUUUCGAAUCACCAUUAAUUUUUUUGUUUCUCUCCAGUAUUUAAAGAAUCUUUUUUCUGACUAAUUUCUAUCCUAAGUAAUCAAUAAAACCUCAGACCCCCAUUAGAAGGUGUAAAGAUCUAAACAAUAUCAUCCCGGUACCCAAUUAAUCUCCUUAUUACAACUUCCCUUGUCUUCUCUAAAUAGGUUCGAAGACCAACUUUGGUACUUAAAGCAGAUUGAACCAAAAUGGAAUUACAUCUAGCAGGUACGUGUUUUGGCUACCGAGAAGAUAUUGAUAUCUGAAUCACCAGUACUUGGACUAAUGGGAGUUCUUAAUGGACAGAAAUCAAGCAAAUCAAGUUAGUUGUAGUCAACCGUUAAUUAGUCUUCCUUGAUUUUUUUCUAUCAAGAAAAUCACGUUAGCUGUAGUCAACCAUCAAUUAGUCUUCCUUGAUUCUCUUAUCACCAUUCAUUGUGUACAUUGACCUUUCCUUUUCUUGAUAAUAUCACUCUAUAUAUAUAUAUAUGUGUGUGUGUGUGUAAUCAUUCCUUUAAAAAGCACAAUCAAUUCAACAAUUCUUUACUCAAACUUUAUAUGGUAUCAGAGUGUCUCUAGCUCCAAUGAGUCUUGCUCGAUCCUAUCCCUUGACUUUUUUUUUUAAAAAAAAAAGAAAAACCAUGUCAGAAGCCAGCUCCAACCUCACAAACCAUGUCCUAGCACCAAACUCUAUACUUUUAGAAGGCUUGAUAACUAUCAAUGCCUCAUUACUACUAGUAAAACCUUCACAUACCAACUAUCCCUCUUGAAAAUCCCAAUUCGAUGCCUUGCUUCUCGAUAUAAUCUUCUCAGUUUUGUAAAUGGGACAAAUCUAUGUCCUCCCAAGGAAAAGACUAUUGACGGUAAAACAGUCCCAAAUCCUAACAACCUUUUUUGGCACCGUCAAGAUCAACUCCUAAAAAUAGGAAUCAUGACCUCUGAGCACAUCAUUCCAAUGAUAAGCUCUGCUAAAACAUUCAAAGACGUUUGGGAUCAUCUCUCUACUGCACUAGCAAGUGCCUCAACCUCUCGCACCAUGGGCCUCACGGAUCAAUUAGCCAACAUCACCAAAGGAACCAUGACGGUCUCAGAAUAUAUUGGAAAAAUUCGCUCAAUAGUUGAUGAACUCGCCCUUGCUAGAUCCGUUGUUCCUAACACUAACUUGAUCCUCCAUGUUUUAAAUGGAGUGGGAUCUGAAUACAAAGAAAUAGCUGCUACUGUUCAAGCUCGUAACACACCAAUCAGUCUUAAAGAACUUCAUGAUAAACUUAUUGAAUAUGAGUUCUUUCUUGCAUGAGAAGUGGCUAAACAUACAAGUGGUUUCAUUGCAAAUGUUGUCAGUAUAAUUGCAACAAGUCCUCUCAUUCUCAAUACAGCAACUGGCCUAAUGAUCAACACUCACAAUUGGAUUCAACCAAUAUACAGACCAGCACUCAAAUGGAAAUCCUAAGCAAAGCAGUGGCUACACAAGUAACAACAACAGUUCCAAAAGAAACAUCUUUUGCCAAUAUUGUAACAAAAAAGGUCAUGUUGCCAAAGAUUACCAUACCCUUAAGCGCUUGCUGGGUAUUCCUGUUCCUCUUAAGGUCAAUUCGACUACCAUCAACCAUAACACUAACAAAUCCUUAAAUGGCUUCUUGAUAUUGGGGCCUCUCAUCAUGUUACUUCCAACAUGAACAAUCUCUCUAAUCAUCAACCCUAUGAGGGUCCUGAUGACAUCAUCAUUGGUGACGGUUCAAGUUUGCAUAUCACACAUACUGGGCAUACCACACUUCCAUCUACAUCUCACUCUUUCAAUUUGUCAAAUGUUUUAUGUGUGCUUACUAUGAAACAAAACCUUAUUUCUGUUUGUCAAUUUUAUAACACCAAUAAUGCCUCUAUUGAAUUUGACCCCACCUCUUUUUGUGUGAAGGAUUUAGUCACGAAGGCACCUCUCGCUAGAGGAGUGAGCAGGAAUAAUGUCCAUGAGUGGACUACUAUCAAAGACUAUCAGCCUCAAAUAAAGCAAGCAUGCUAUGGUGUUGUUACCACGGUUAGUUAGUGGCAUGAUCGAUUGGGGCAUCCAUCUCUCAAAGUCCUCAAUCGCAUUAUAUCAACUCAAAAAUUACCUAUUCAAUCUAGGUCUUCCUUUUUUUCCUUUUGUGACUCUUGUCAAGGCAAUAAAAGUCACAAGCUCCUGUUUGGCACUUAUAGUUUGCAAAGUCGAAACCUUUUAGAUUUGCUCUACACCGAUGUUUGGGGACCAUCUCCAAUCCAAUCUAUUGAUGGUUUCUUUUAUUAUAUACUUCUUGUAGAUCACUUCACCAAAUACUCUUGGUUGUUCACCAUGUCUCACAAAUCUGAUGUGCAAAUUAUCUUUCCUAAAUUUAAAGUCAUGGUUGAAAAGUUUUUUAAUACCUCUAUCAAUACCAUCUACACUGAUGGAGGUACCGAGUAUCAAGGGCUAUGCACUAUCUUUGCCAACCAUGGUAUCCAACAUCUUGUCUCCCCUCCACACACUACCCAACAUAUUGCGUCUGCUGAAUGUCAUCAUCGUCACAUUGUUGAAACUGGGCUCACUCUUAUGCAUCGUGCAUCUUUGCCUCUUUCCCUUUGGACCUACGCCUUUCAUACAGCUGUCUACCUCAUUAAUCGAAUGCCAACGCCUAUUCUUGACAACAAAUCACCUUUUAAAUGCUUAUUCCAUAAAGUGCCAAAUUAUUCCAAACUUCGCACCUUUAGGUGCUUGUGCUAUCCCUGGCUUCGCCCAUAUAACAAACAAAAAUUGGAACCUCGGUCUCAACCAUGUUUAUUUCUUGGUUAUUCUAAUAUUCACAAUGCCUGUACAUGUUAUGAACCUACAUCUUACAAAUUCUUUUAUUCUCGUCAUGUUCAGUUUGUUGAACAUCAAUUUCCAUCAUUGCCCUCCCAAACCAAGGAUACGUUUGUCAUUUCCCACACUCAACCUAUUUAGUCUAUUCUUUCUCCAUCUCUUCACUCAUUUGCCAACUCCAAUGCUCUUAUCACAAAUAUGUCCAGUUCCUUGUCAUCGUCGGCUGCCACAAGCUCUCCAGCCACUAAUCAGUCAGAUUCUAACUCACCACAAAAUCUUAGGACCAUAAGCAGUGCACAUUUUCCACAAACUUCACCUCCACCAUCGUCUUUUAGGACAACUUCUCACUCUUCCCCAAAUUGCUCUUUGGUUUCCCCUAACCCAACACCCACUGACUGCAUUUUUGAGGCUAAUCAAACCUUGACAGUAUCCAAUCAUUCAUUUUCUCAUCACCAUUCAUUGCUGUACAUUGACCUUUCCUUUUCUUGAAAAUAUCACCCUAUAUAUAUAUAUAUAUAUGUGGGUAAUCAUUCCUUUGAAAAGCACAAUCGAUUCAACAAUUCUUUACUCAAACUUUAUAGUUCUGCAGCUCCAGUAAUCAAACAAGAUGUUGUACAAAUGUUUUAUUUCUAUUUUUACAUUCUGCCUUUAGGGUCAUAAGCAUUAACAAUUUCGAAUCACCAUUAAUGUUUUUGUUUUCCUACUGAAACUUCAAGCUGAUACUUUUGCCUUGCCUGACAAGAUAAUCAAACUCAAGUUUUGAGCCCCCUUUCAAACGAACGAACUAGGUAGGAAGUUCUCCAGACAGCACCUUCUUUCUUGCAAGGGGACCUUCAUGAUUCCAAAUCACCAAACGUAUCAUUGUUGCAUUAAGGACAUUAUUUUGAAGGCUACCAAGGAUUUCCCAAAUCUGUUGUAUUUGGUUGAUGCAAGUAUACCAAUCAAAGAUAUGGAACUGCUAUGCUCAAAAGGAAGUGCUCAUUUUUGUAAAGCUCAUUUUCCGUUGAUCGUCAAGUGGUUUUUUCUCAAUUAAAUGUCAGAAAAUGUAGAAACCAAUUUCUCCAAAACAAACGGAGUCUUAGUUGAAGCUCAAUUAGAAUUAAACCCAAUAUUUUUAUGGCAACCCUGGUAGAUGUUAAGAAUAAGCUUUUUAGCAUUAGAGCAUGAUUAAGCUUGAAAUCCAUCUUUUUUCUUCUUAAUACAAAGGCUAAUGCUUUGACUUGACUCUACACAUCUUUUAAACUACUACAGAUGAGAACUACUAGAAGUUUUCUGGUUUCUAUUUCCUUUGUGUGUAUGCGUAAUUAGUGCCUUCAUUUCAUAUCAGUAAAUCAUGUUAUUUGGCUCUUCAGGAAGUUUUUGUUUCUAUCAUCUACCAAUUAAUGCUAGAUGUUGUAAUUCCCUGCUUCCUUAUACCAUGUAAGCAUCACAAGUAUAUGAGAACCACUCUAUUAACUUCUUUGCUACUCAACACUAAUAACAGAAUGCUUUGGCCUUGUAUAUCAGUAUAAACAAAACUUAUAAUUUUGUAUCUCAUUCCAAUGUCCUCAGAAUCAAUGAUGGAAAGGUUUCCAGGCAACAUUUGAGUGUAUGUUUGAGUACUAGUGGAUAUUAUAAAAAUUCAAUAAUAUCUACAGUAAAUCAUAUUAUAGAGCACCCUUAAACCAUGGGCAGUGAUGUUGACUCAAGAAUGUCAGAUUCCAAUUCCAAAAGCUUGAUGGUUAAGGAGCUAUAACCGACCAUCAAAAGUGAUUUGAUAGAGAAUUGGGUGGGUAAGGGAAAAAUGGAUGAGAAAGUGACCUUCUUAAUUUAAAUAGCCAUUUUAAAAGCAUAUGGUCUUCAUAUUAGGUAAGAUUAUUUCUUCUUAGCACCUAUUAUAAAGUGAUGAUUUUAUGUUAAAAAUUUAGCUUUCUGUUGAUAAGUUGUUGUAAUUUCCUCUAAAGAAGAAGACUUUUGUAAUCCUAUUAUUUUGAGUAAUAGAAAAUCGAAUAGAUUAUGGUCUUGUGGUUUUUGUCCUUAUUAAGGGGUUUUUCACGUAAAAUCUAGUGUCUUGCUUCUUUGACUCAAUGAUUUUUUUUUCUUAUUUUGUUUUUACAUGAAAAUUGGGGUUUAUUUGGUCAUCGCUUGGUAUCACUAUCUAUACAUGAAAGAGUAAUGGCUAAAUUUAAAUAGGAAAUGACACUAAAGCAUCCUUUGAUCAAAUGAAUCCAGACUUACCUUCAUUUAACCAGUAGGGUCUACUUUUGAAAUAUUUUCAAAACCAAUGGAAGGUAGAGAAAUCUCAAAGAAAAUGAUAGAUUCCUAACCUUCUCACACUUCUAAUUCAAUAGAUUUCAUUAAUUAAUAGAUUUAAACAGCUUCCACAUCUCAAUCUCUGAGAUGGACAAUACAGAUAUGAAAAAUAGAACAUCUAGACUAACAAGCUGACAAACUAUGCUUACCCACACAUAAACCCAAAAAAUCAGAACUUACAUGAAUGUCCACCCACAGAAAACAACCUGUAUUUAUUACCUGAAUGUCUACAAUACAACUGCUAAAUAAAUAACCAAACAAAUAGUUAAUCAUAGUUGCUAACCGAGCUACGUAUUGUAUAUCAAAAUUUUAUUUUUUAAGUAUUGAUUAGCAAUAUUGUAAGAUAAGAUAAUUUUUAAAAAUUAAUUAUAAAUUAUAUAACAUUUACAAUAAAAUUUUUUAAAAAAUUAUAUUUAUUAAUGGGAUUGAGAAAUAUAUAGUAUAAGUUAAAAAGAUAUUGUUUUUUAAUUUGAAUUCUCAACAUGCUCCUUAAUAAUAUAAAUUUUUUAAUAACCCAUCUAUUUUCCAUAAUAAUAUACUAAUUAAAACCAAAAAAGUAUUUAAUACUUUUUAUAUAUAUUAUUUUUAGAAUAAAAAAUUAAAAUACUCAUUUACAAAUAGCUUUGGAAAGUGCAGAGUUGAUAAUGGCUUUGGAUUUUGGUUAGCAAAGACAUUGAGUGAAAAAAAAAGUCUCAAGUUCUAAAAAGAUUUCAAGAAAAAGCUUAAGAAAGUAGUGUUUGACUUUUUGUAAUUUGAAGUCCGAAGAUUCAAUUCCAAACAAUGUCGCUAACCACCACAAUUUAUAACAAAAUGUGAAUAGCUCAGAAUCAUAGAGACAUAGGUUACAACCAUCUGUCGAUCAAUCCCAACUUUCUCCAAUGAGUUCCCAUAACAAGAGAGAAUCACCAAUAGGCACGAAUAUGGCACUUAAUGGCCUGACUCUUUAGGACCACUAGAUCUUGAUGUACCAUCGUGUAGGUAUCAUAGUGAAGAUUAGAGUUUAGGCGAUAACCUUGGAGGUUUCAAUCUUCUAAAUAGCCAGCAGUCUGGAUGCAAUUCAAAAUUGCUGAAUUACCCAUCUUUAUUUCAUUUUUCAUAACUACUUGAUCGUUGAGCUUAAGCCAUGUCUUUUGUUGGAGAGGCUUGCUUAUCUACUUUCUUUGAGGCCUUGUUUGCCAAAUUGGGCUCUUCCGAAUCCCUCCACUUUGCUACUGAAAGCAAGUCCAUGAGGAGCUUAGGAAGUGGGAAAAGAUAUUGAAGAAUAUCCAAGCAGUGCUUGAUGAUGCAGAGGAAAAGCAAAUGAAGGAUCGGCAUGUGAAGAUAUGGCUAGCGGAGCUCCAAGACUUGGCUUACGAUAUGGAUGACAUCUUGGAUGAGUUCGGGACUGAAGCCUUGGGAAGCAAGUUAGUGCAAGAAUGUCGAGCAAACAGAAGUAAGGUAUGGAAGAUCAUUCAUACUUUCAUUUACUUUCAUUACUAUUUUCAAUCCAUAUGCUUUCCUAUUUAAUUAUAAGAUGAUGUCAAAGAUAAAAGCGAUUACUGUUAGAUUGUAAGAUUUAGUCACCCAAAAAAAUGACUUGCACUUAAGAGAAAAUGAUGUUGGUAGGCCUAAGAGAAAGAUAGAAAGGCCACCAACUACUUCAUUGGUGAAUGAAGCUCCUGUCUAUGGUAGGGAAGAAGACAAAAAGGCAAUAAUUGAUUUGCUUUUAAUGAAUGACUAUAGUGAUGAUAAAGUCAUUGUGAUUCCUAUUGUUGGCAUUGGAGGGAUUGGUAAGACUACCCUUGCUCAACUAGUUUACAAUGAUGAUAGUAUAAAAGAUCAUUUCGACAUCAAAGUAUGGGUGUGUGUUUCUGAAGAUUUUGAUGUGAUCAGAAUAACGAAAACAAUUUUGUAGUCAAUAACUUUUAAGUAGUGCAACGAAGUAAAUGAUCUAAAUUUACUGCAGGUCGAAUUGAAGGAGAAGCUAUAUGAAAAUAAUUUUCUGCUUGUUUUGGAUGAUAUUUGGAAUGGACGCUACCAUGAUUGGAACAUUCUACAGUUUCCUCUUGAAGUAGGGGGUCUAAGAAGCAAAAUUAUCAUGACAACACGCGAUCAAAAUGUUUCAUCAAUAAUGAGAACUGUUCCAAAUCACUCUUUAAAAGAAUUGCCAAAUGAUGAUUGUCUCUUCAUUUUAACUCAACAUUCCUUAGGAGAAAAAGGUUUCAAUUGUCAUUUGGAUUUAAAAGAAAUUGGAGAAUAGAUUGUGAAGAAGUGUAAUGGCUUGCCCUUAGUAGCUAAAACCAUUGGUGGCUUACUAAGCACUAGAGUGGAUACUGAUGCAUGGCAAGAUGUAUUGGAGAAUGAGAUAUGGAACUCAUCAUAAGAGAAAUGUGGUGUAAUUCCAGCUCUAUGGUUGAGCUACUAUAAUCUUCCAACACAUCUCAAGCAAUGUUUUUCAUAUUGCUCCAUACUCCCUAAAGCCUAUGAAUUUGAGGAGGAAGAAAUAGUGUUGUUAUGGAUGGCAGAAGGCUUGUUAUGACAAACAAACACUAAAAGGCAAAUGGAAAAAUUAGGUAGCCUGCACUUUCAAGAUCUCGUGUCAAGACAUUCUUUCAAAUAUCUAGCAGAAAUAAAUCUCAAUUUGUAAUGCAUGACCUCAUCAAUGAUCUAGCUCAAUCAGUUGUAGGGGAAAUAUGCUUUAGAGUAAAAGGUGAUAAGCAAAUUUCAAGGUGUUGUCUUUAUUCAUCCUACAUUGGCAAUAGGUAUAAUGGACACAAAAUGUUUGAAACCUUGUAUGAAGCAGAGCAAUUACGAACAUUUUUAGUAUUUAUGUUACCAAUUCUGACUAACAAUGUUCUUCUUGAUUUGUUGCCGAAACUGAGACACUUAAAAGUGCUUUCUUUGGAAAGGUACUACAUUGUUGAGAUACCAAAUUCAGUUGGAGAUUUGAGACAUAUAUGUUACCUUAAUUUUUCCUAUACUAAAAUCAAAAGCUUGCCAGAGUCCAUAUGUACUCUCUUCAAGUUACAGACUUUGUUAUUGAGAGGUUGUGAUCACCUCAAACAGCUACCUUCAAAUUUGAGGUUUUUAAGUAACCUACAGGGUGUUGACAUUAUUGAUACAAAUUCAAUCAAAGGGAUGCCAUUCGGAAUUGGUGAAUUAAUUGAUCUCCAAGCACUAACCAAUUUUGUUGUAGGCCAAGGUGUUGGAUAUCAAAUAAGAGAGUUGAAUAAUUUAUCUAAUCUUAAAGGUCAACUUUCUCUUUCAAGAUUGGAAAAUCUUGUCAAUGCUCAAGAUGCCUUGGAGGCUAGGUUGUUUGAUAAGUCUAACCUUGAUGAUUUAGAAAUGAAGUGGAGUGCAGACUUGAAAGAUGAUUUAAGGAAAGAAGGAGUAGAGAAAGAGGUGUUGAGCUUACUUCAACCUCAUAAGAAACUUAAGAAACUCAUCAUCAAGUAUUAUGGUGGUUUAGCAUUCCCAACUUGGGUGGGAGAUCCUUCAUUCAAAAAUUUAAUCUUCUUAAAUUUUGAAGGUUGCCAAAAGUGUACCUCAUUGCCAUCAAUUGGGAAGCUACCAUUUUUAAAGGUCGUUUGUAUCAAAGGAAUGAGUUUUAUCAAUAGGGUGGAUGCUGAGUUCUAUGGAGAGAAAUGCUCAAAUGCAUUUCCAUCAUUGGAGAUUCUUCAUUUCGAAGAUAUGCCAGAAUUGAAGGAGUGGAAUUUUUACCAAGUUGAUGGGCAAACAAGAUUCUUCAAAUGCCUUCGUGAUCUCUCUGUCAAGAAAUGCCCCAAGCUGUUGAGAAGUCAACCAAGUUGCCUUCCUUGCCUAUAAAAACUUGUGAUUCAUGAGUGUCAACUGUAAUACCCCUCACAAAAUAUUUUUUACAAAAACAUUUAGAUUUAUUAAGCUAUAGUUUUAUAAAGAUAAUAAGUAGAUAUUAUUUUAGUAUUUUAUUUAUUUACAAUUAUAACCUUUGGUGCCUUAGUAAUUAGAAAAUAAAAGAAAGGUUUUUAAGUAAAUGAAGAAGUUUUAUUAAAGUCAGUUUACUUAUCAUGUUUAAGUUAGUGGAGUUAAGGUCAGUUUAUUAUUAUGUUUAAAUUAAUGGGGUUAGGUAGUUUAUAAGUUUUAAAAGAACAGACAACAACUUACGUUAGUUUAUUCAUCACAUUCAAACAACAGACAGUCAGAAAAGUUUAAUAUCAGGAAAGAAGAAAGACAAAGAAAAGGGAAAGAAAUUGCUGAUUAAGGUAUGUUUGGGAUUAUAUUUUCAUAGUUUGGGUACAAAAACCCUAAAUUAGUUAUAUUUUUUACUUUUUAUUUAAAUCCGACACUUUUUCAAUCACUUUCUGGCAGCAUGAUGGGUACCAAUGGAAAGAACUUGAAAAGAUCUUUCCAAUGGUUUUUGUAGCAUCUCAUUUGGCCUUGUGGUUAGGAAGUUAUGAAUUUUUUAAGUUAAUUAGAAACUUGGUUUUCAACAGUUUUGACAGCCCGACUUUGGGUUACCGGAACUCCAUAUUCCGGUGACGUUUUUCGUCGUUUCUUUGAGGGCAUUUGUAGUACGAAAUUAGGUGUUUAAUUUGGCGUCAAUGUCUUGGUUAGAGGCUUUCUGUGUUAAGAGAAUUAAAGCCUCAAAUUAGGCUUGUUGAUACUGGAAACCCAGAAAUCUGGGUAUUUCUGUGAUGAUUUCUUGAAUUUUGGCUUUCGAAACUUAGGCAUCUUGUGGUCUUUUUAAUCGAAACAAAUUUUGGUCUUGUAGUAUGAUAUGAAUACUUCAAAUUGGUGUUGAUUUCAUCACUGUAAAUAAUUCAGGUUAAAAGUUAUGAGAGCUUGAAGUAAGCUAAAUGGCCAUCCAGAUUCUGAAAAUUUCAGAAAACAUAAAUUUUUUUUUAAAAUUUGUUUUAAAAUUUGAUUUUAAUUAAUAUGUGAUAAAUUCUAUUGUANUUGAUUUUAAUUAUUAUGUGAUAAAUUCUAUUGUAAAUUUCAUAAAUAUUGGAUAUGUGAUUUCUACUGUAUUUUUAUGUCAAGAAGUAUGUAUCUUUAUAUUUUAUAAAUUUAUUUCUUCAAUUAGUAGAUUUUAUUAAAAUAUCAAAAUUUAUGAAAUUAAUUACAAAUAUGAUUUUUACAAGUGAAAUUAGUAUUAUUUCUCUAUCUGAAAUUAAAAUCCUUACUGAUUUUAUGAUUUAAGUUAAUUCUCAACCUCAUUGGAAAUUUUGUUUAAUUAAAAAUAUAAAUAAUAAUAAUAUAUUACCUUAUUAAUAAAAAAUAUUCAUAAAUUGUAAUAUGAGUCGCAACACACCCUAAGUGCUUAGGAUGGUCAACGAAAAGUCACCUUGUAGGAUCUGUUUGUAAAUUUAGUUCUGGUUUUUGUGUUUAUCGAAAUAUUAGGCUACUAAAAGGAUUUUCGGAUUUGCUACUUGAAAGUGAAAUUAACGAGAUCAAGUAAGUGACUGAUAUCCUUUCGGUGUUCUUACACCUUAAAAAUUAGCCUCAAUCUGAAUUUGUACAUGAGAUAUAAUAUUUUAUCCUAUGACUUAUUAAAAUUGGGUUGAGCAUGCAAAAUGUAUAUGUAUAUGAGUUUGUAUGUUGGAUUUAGAAUGUCACUUAUGCAAAGCAUGAUAUUUGAUUUCGAAAUUUAUAUAUGACUUUGUAUAAUGUAUGCAUAUAUGUUUUCGCUAAUAUAAAUAUAAAUAUAAAUAUUUAGUCUGAAAUAUGCCUUUAAGGUGUAUGAGAUAUAUUUGAGAAAUUUGAUAUAUUAUUUUAUGAACUUUGGGUAAUCUAAAAAUAUAUAUAUUUCUGUUUUGUCUCCUAGUAUGGCUAUGCUCUGACCUUGCCAAUGGGGGUUAAAUGUUAGCCAUGUCGACAUGUAUUCUGUGAUUAGAGAUCGAUCUUUUAACCGCACCACCGGUUACAAAAUAGUGGUAUCUGUGAUAUCUGUUCAGUGCAGCCAAUGGUUGCUUCUUCUGACCCAUGCCACUGAGGUUAAUUGUGGUUCUAUUUCUGACCUAUGCCACAAGGGUUAAGUGUGGUCGUAGCAUGAUAUGGGAGACCAUUAAAAGUUAAAUAUUGUGAUUAUAAUUGUUCUGUUAUUUGAAUGUGCAAAAUUUUGAAGUUUAUGAUUCUGAAUAAGAUUACCCAAUAUUUUGUCUCAACAUUUGUAAAUGAUAUUUUGCCCUAAAUGUUUUAAGCAUGCUUAAUCCGGCUGAAGGGAUGUUAGUUACUUGCUGAGUAGUUGGACUCACCCCUUCCUUCAAAUUUUUUUCAGGUUAUGAUUUGGUCAACUACGCAGGAAUUUCGGAGAGUGAUGUUUAAUUUAGUAGCACUUAAAUUGUCUAGGAUUUAUUUAAAUAUUAUGAACAUCGAACUAUCUUAAUUAGUAUUCAGACUUUUAUCUUGACUUAGUAGCUUUAUGGUUUUUGAGAUUUAAUUUUGAAUAUUGUCGAAUUAUGAUCUUUGGAAAUUCUAUCGACAGAUAUAGUUUAUAAAUCACUAAAUUCUUCAGGUAUAUCAGUCUCUUUUAGUAAUAGUUUAAGAUAUAUAUUUUAGAGCCUUGCAUGUCUGUAGGAUUAUACCUUACAGGUAUGCGACGUUUGUCAUUUCUCGGGUCUGGGGCGUGACAACAAUUGGUAGUUUUAAUUCCAAACACUUUGAAGCUGUGUGAAUUAGAGAUUGUUGGGUGCAAAGAAGUGCUACAUGAGAGUUCUUUUGAUCUUUGCUCAUUAAAAAAAGUCUUUCUAUUAAAUCUCACAAAGUUUACUUGUUUAACAAAGGGGUUGAUGUUAGACUUCACAAAAGCUGAGUUUUUUUUGAAUUGGUGGUUGUAGGGAGCUUACUUCUUUGUGGCAUAACAGAGGAGGGGGAUGGUUAGCUCAGUGGAGGUGCUUUUGUAACAUGGAAAUUUUGAGCUAUCGUCAACUUGUUUCAUUAGAGAUAGGAGAGGCAAGCAAAGAGUUGGUACAAACAAAAACCCUUGCAAUCUUGAAUGUCUAAGAAUAAAGUAUCGUGAAAGACUAGAGAAGCUAUCGACAACUUUGUACAGUCUUAGAUCCCUUAGGGAGCUAGAGAUUGUAAAAUGUCCAAAAUUGGUGUCUAUUUCACAUAACAACUUUCCUCUGACUCUAAAAGGGGUGGUGAUAAAAAAUUGUGAGAAUUUAUAAUGUUUAUUGGAGGAAGACAGUAUCAAGAUUAGCAGCACAUCUCUACUUAGCCACCUGACAAUUAGAAAAUGUCCAUCCUUAAUAUCAUUGUCAUCAAGAGGUGAGUUACCUGUUAGGCUUCAACGUCUCAAGAUAUGGAGUUGCCCAAAGUUGACCUAUUUAUCAUCAAGUGGCACUUUACCUGUGGGGCUUACAUACCUUCAAGUUGACCUUUGCCAAAUGUUGGAGUAUGUUGCAUAUUCUGUUCACAAUAACACUUGUCUAAAAUUCAUUUUCGUUGGUAGGUGUGAAAAGAUUCAGUAUUUACCUAAUGGAUUGGACAAGCUCAGCCAUCUUCAGCAGAUUCAAAUAGAAUGUUCGCAGAAUUUGGUUUCCAUUUCCAAGUUGCCUUUCACCAGCCUACAUGUGUUAUGCCUAAGUUGGUGUAGGAAACUCCAAGCUCUACCAAAUGGCAUGCACAUCCUUACAUCUCUUCGGGAAUUGGAGAUAUCAAAUUGUAGAUGUUUAUUAUCUUUUCCAGAAGAAGGUUUCCCCACCAACCUAACUUCACUUACAAUCUUGAAACCUUAACUUGAAAUGCUUGAAGGACUAAUUAAUUGGGGAUUGCAUAAACUCACUUCUCUUAAAAGAUUCACCAUUAAAGGAGGAUACAAUGGGAUGUCGUUUCUACAUGAAGAGAAAGGGAUGAUGUUGCCUUCUUCUUUUUGUAAACUUGCCAUUAGUGAUUUCCCAAAUGUUGAAAUCCUAAUUUCAAAGGGCUUUCAAAACCUCCCCUCUCUUGAAUGUUUGUGCAUUGUUAACUUUUCAAAGCUCAAAUCUUUGCCCAGAAAGGGCAUGCUUCCCUCAUUUCCGGAGUUAUAUAUUCAUGAUUGCCCUUUGCUAAAAGAAAGGUGCAAAAAGGAUGAAGAGCAAGACUGGUCCAACAUUGCUCAUAUACCUUCUGUUCAGAUUGAUAAUAGAUUCAUCUAUGAUUAGAGGAAAAGAAAGAUGAAUGUAAUUCAGAGGAGUAAAACUGGAAGGAGAAAAUCAGAGAAUGCAACAAAUUUGUAUUAUGUCAAUUUUACAAAGUCAUUGUAAUAACUCAUUUCUAAUUUCUUUUAUAGUUUUCCUUACAUUUGUAUUAUAGAAUACAAUUUUGGUUUUUCCAAAUGUUGAUAAUGAUAUUGUUGUGGGCUCUGUUUUUUGUUUUUGGCAUUUCUAGAAGUUAGAGUUGUAGUUUGGAUUUGUUUCUCUUGCCUUUAAUGACACAGCAUCUAUUUUCCUGUGUCCAUAUUUAUUUUCAAUUCUUUCUACAUGCAGUUUGGGAAGUUGUAUGACCCCAUUUUCUGCAUGCACCAAUUCAAUGAAUGUCACCAUCAGCAGCAGUGAUACAAAAAUAAAUGAGAACCCUGUUGUCGCCUAAAGAAUCACCGUUAUUUGCAGUCCUACAGAAUGGAAGGAUUCUUCCCUUAAUGUAUUUUAUCUCUCUUUUUUCUUGUUCUUGUACCGCAGAUGAUUUUGAAUAUUGCAUUUAAAAUGAAAUUUUGGCGAUAUCUUGUUUUUCAGGUAGAAGAUAUUAGCAAAGCCAAGGAUACUCUGCUAGAACACUAGUGUGAAGGUGAUAAAGAAUGACAACGUUCAACAUAGCCUACAUAUCUUUUGUUAAGGUUGCUCACAAAUUUGCUAUGAUCCAGAAGAGGAAAGCUGAAAUUGAUUGAUUUAUCGGUAAAUCUGGUAGGUCAAUUUGAAAUUAUAGCAACAUUGUCCCAUUGUAUAGUUUUUAUAAUUGGAUAAGUACUUUUUAAAGAAAUCAACAGAAAGUUUAACUAUUAACUCUUUCUUGGUCAAAGUUCAUCUCACAGAAAAUGCUUGGAAAUAGAUUCAUCUUCGUGGCCUCCAGACACAUGAAAGGGCUAAAAGAAAAUUAAGGAAUGAAGAGUUUGGUUAAUUGUCCAAAAGUUUUGUUGUCAUCUAUUGGAACUUGCGGAUUGUUUGUUUCAUGAUUUGAUUGGUUUCCUACCUCACUUUUUGUCAACCUGUUGGAGAGAUUAGUUGUCCUCACAAGAAGAGACAAUAACUAUGGUACUAUAUACUAGUUAUGAAGGUAUAAAAUUCUACCCUCAUAGUGUUGUAGUAUCUACAAAUUAUAUUUCUCUCUGUGACUUCAGGUAAAAAAAAUUUUACAAAUUAUAGUGUCUACAAAUCCUAGCCCCUGCUAAUUUUUGUUAGAUGAUGUUGCAGUACUACAAUGAACGCCUUGAAUCAACUUUCAGCAUUUGAAAACGAUUAUGGUGUAAUGAAAAUCUUCCUCCUAUGUUUCUUGGUUAUGGUGUACACAAUUAGGAUAUGCUUGGAAAUGUUCCUUAUAGAGUCAUAAUUAUAACAAACUAAAUGUACAAUGCUAAGAAUUAUUUUCCACUGUCAUCUACCUAUUUUUUUAUUCUGUUUUCUGUAACAAAGAAUCUGAUUUCUUCAAUCGGAUAUUUCAGUUUAGCGGAGGUCAAAGACACAGCCUGUGGGUAACUGGGCAUUGCAUCAUGAACAGGCUUUAAAUGUGAUUGAAGACACCAUGUAAUUGCUGCUUCAGUUGGUUCUUGUUCAAUAUCCCUCAAACUUUUGCAGGUGAAAAUGACCACUAUAUAUUUCAUAACUUCAUAAGUUUUUAGUCUUUUCUAGUUAUUAUUUGUAUCUCAUCCUUGCUCAUACUGAAUGCAUUCAUUACGGUAUGUUUUUCUACUGAAACUUCAAACUGAUAAUUUGGCCUCGCCCUUCAGGACAAUCAAACUCAAGUUCUGAGCCCCCCUUCAAACAAACAACUUGGAAGUUCUCCGAACAGGACCUCCUUUCUUCAAAUGGGACUCUUAUAAUUGGAAAGCGCCAAAUAUAUCACUGGUGCAUAAGGACAUGAUAUUGAAAGGCUAACAAGGUUUCCCAAAUCUGUUCUAAUUGGUCGAUGCAAGUAUGCCAAUCAAAGAUAUGGAAGUGCUAUGCUCAAAAAGAGAGUGCUGAGAACUUUAUGAUAUUGGGAGUUAUUUGGUCACCCAUUGGUACAUGCAAUACAUUCAUGAUAGGUCAAAUUCACAUUUCCUGCCUCUGGCAUUUUCUCCAUACAAAAGUUUGAAGAUGAAGAAGGCUUUGUGUCUAGAAAAAUAGGUACCAUUGUUUCAUUGCCUUUAUUUGGCACAAGACUUUCCACUGCCAUGCCAACAAAACUUCAGGGAAAUGCAUUAUUGCCGAGUGCCAAUCGUUUCUGUUGAAUUUAAGGCUCCAGUGAUGAACUCUCUUGGCGUCAAGGUGAUUUUUAUGAAGAUGUCAAAGUACUGAAGACAGCAUGCGAUACUAUCUGCAUAGCCAUAUCUCAUGCCGGACAUACUGAUAUGGCCUUCUAAUGCCUUUUUGCUACUUUAGCUUAACUUGUUCCUGGUUUUAUGUCAAGUAUGUUAUCUAAACUAAUGACAAAUUUUGUCAUUCUCUUUGUAUAAAGAACUUUUAUUCAAUGACAAUCUAUAAGCCUUCGGUCAAUUCACAUUUUCUACUACAAGUGUCAUGGGAUCAAACAGGAGAUUGCAUAUGGUUUUGGUUAUUAUAUUUUUUAAGUUUCAUUUAAAAUUUAUCUAAUCAAUAUUAAUAAGAUUUAUAUAAUUUAUAAAUUUAUAAGAAUUCCAAUGCAUCGGAUGCUUAUAAAAAUACUCAUUUAUUCAGUACAUUUCAAAAAUUUGUAAUAUUUAAAUUUUUUAUUAUUAAUAUUAAUGAGAUUUAUCACAUUAGAAAAUAUAUACGAAUACUAAUUUGUACCAAUUUACUUUAUUAGAAUUUUUUUUAUCAUAGAUAUCGACAAGAUUUGUCCAAUUUGUAAACAAAAAUUUUAAUUACACUGAAUGGCAUUCAGUAAAAUUAUUUUUCUUAAUGCUAAUAAUAUUGAAUCAUUUAUAGAUUAAUAUUUUAAAAUUUCAAUUAUAUAUGAUCGAAAAAUUAAUUGUCUUCUGUAUAUAAAUGUUAUUUUAGUUUAAUUGUCUUGAUUUAUAUACAAUUAACUUUAAAUUUUAGAAAUAUUUUUAUCUUAUAUAUAAUCCUUAUUAAUAAAUAAAUAAAACAUAAGUAUCCAAGUACAAUGCACGUGAUAAUAAAUAUUAGUGAGUAUAAGUUGCUCUCAGCUCAUCUAAUUGGGUGCCAUGCUCGGCUGGUGUGGAGGUUUUUUGGUGAGUCUGCUUUUCUGUGGCUUCAAGUUGCUGUUUCCUUGUGAUAGAUGUUUCAGUGGCAAGCCCUGUUUUGGCCUAAAGGGCGCUGCAUUUCUGGUGUGUAGGUGAUUGUCGAAUUGAGAUGCUUUUAUUUUUUGUGGCAGUUAAUCCUUUGUGUAAUUAUACAGAUUCUCAAAGCCCUUAUCAUUCUUUUAUGUCAUGAAAAGUCUUUUGUAGAUCAGGCAAGAGACUUGAUGAUGACAUAAUGGUAAUGAUGAUUAAUAAAAACAACGUUUAAAAAAGGUUAGUAUAAGCAUACAAAGAAGGGUUAUAUUAUUAUUAUUAUUAUUAUUAUUAUUAUUAUUAUUAUUAAAAAGAGUUAAGUAGUUGGAUUGCAUCUCCAUUCUUUAGAUUUAGAAUGAAUUAAGAAUCUAAAAUAAUAUAUAACGAUACAAUAUAAUUAAUUUAUUAAUCAUAACGAUUUUUAAUUCCUAAUGCUUUUUUUAAUUCCUAAUUCUUGUUUAUAUUUCACAAAAUUGUUGCACAUCCAGCUUUUAACGAGAAUCCGAUUUUAUUGCAAAAGAACAAGGAGACAAUACAAAAAAUACAUCCGGCUCUGAGGAAUGAUGACAUUGAUGUCAUUAACAUUGUUGUAUGAUAAGUUUGAGAUUAAUAUUGAUACGAUCAUUGCAUUAACAAAAUCACAAGGAAACAAAACUUAACCAGCAUUGAUGGAGUUUAUGUGAUUCCCAUUUUUGGUAUUAGAGGAUUUGGCAAGAUAACCCUUACUAAGCUUGUCUGUGAUGAUAACAAUGUAAAGAUAAUUUUGAUCUAAUUUAUUACGUGCAUUUGAUUAUUAAAUCGCAUGUAUGUCAAAAUUAUUUUUUAUAUAUUUAUUUAUUUAUAAAAACACUUAAAGUUAUAUAAUAAAAAAUAAUUAUUUCUUAUUUUACAAGUGAUGUUGUAUAUCUAACUAAUAAAUUAACUAAUAUAUAUAUAUAUAUACACACUAAUAAAUUAACUAAUAAAGAUUUGAUGGUUAGGGAGCUGCAUAGUGUUGAUGGAAAAUAGGUGGCUGAAGGGAAAAUGGAUGACAAGGAGACCAUCUUAAUUUAAAUGAACAAUCAGUCAUAGCCUCCACAGACAGUUCUUAUUUGGUGAGAUCGGUUCCUCUUUCAACGUUUUAUAAGGUGAUGGUUGAAUGUUAGAAAUUUAGCUUUCUAGUGAUGACUUCUUGUAAUAUCCUCUAAGUUUACAAGAAAAAGCUUUUGUAAUCUUAUUAUUUUAAGUAGGGGAGUACUUGAAGAGACUAUAGUCCCAUGGUUUUUCCCUUUACCAAGUGGUAAAGGAUUUUUUGACGUAAAAUCUGAUGUCUUACUCUCAUGGAUUGUUGAUUAUUUCAUUUUUUUACAUGGAUAAAUAAUAAUGAAUUACUAUUUUAAUAUAUUCAAUAGGGUAUUCAACUUUUACAAAGAGAAACAAGAAAUCAGAGUUUUAAUUAUCUGGUUGUAAUGGUUGACUGUAAAGACAUGAUGUGCUUUCUUCAUUUUUCGGUUUUACUAUUUAACAUAGACACCAUAAUAUAACAGCUUAACAACUAAUCGCAACAAACAAACUCCUGUCAAUUGUACUAAACAAAACCAUUAAUUUCUUACAACAGAGUCGAUUUACUCUUUGUCAUAAUAUUGACACCUUCUACAGAUUUAUUUGGGAGGAUCCCAAUGAAUAUAUUUUAGAGUGCAUUAUCAAACCAUUGAUUAAUAACAUUGAAUUUGAUUUACCAAUAAAAGUUUUCAAUUUGUAAAUUUUUUGUAAAUAUUAUAGGUUGCUCAAAUUUCAUUGUAAUUUGCACUUGAACAUUUGAUUCAAUAGAUAUAAUAGAACUUUGAAUAAUGGACUUUUAUAUAAGGUAAUAAUAAAAAAAUAAGCAUUUAUAUUAGGGAUAAAUAAUUACUCAAUAAUUUACUUUAACUAGAAAUGUGGUAUUAAUACGAAAAUUUCUUAAUUCUAAUACUAUGGAAUAAUUUAUAGAUUAAUAAUACAAAUUUUCAGUUAUAUAACACUGAAAAAUUAAUUAUUUUUUAUAUAUAAUGAUCUUUCAAUUAUAAUUGUUUUUAGUUAUAGACAAUUAACUUUAUAUUUUAAAAAUAUUUGUAUCUUAUAUAGAGAUAGUUAUUAUUUCAAAAUAAAUAAAAAACAAAUAUUCAUAUACAAUGAAUAUGAGAAUAACUAUCAAUAAGUAUAAGUAUAUUAUUAUUAUUAUUAUUAUUAUUACUACUAAAAAUGAUGGAGUUGUUGGGUUGUUUAUCAGUUUUUCAAUUCUUAAUUCUUUGGGGAAUCUUCCUGGACGGUUGAUGAAAGGUUAUUGUUAUGAAAGAGAGCACCAUGAUUUGGUAAUAAUAUUAGGUAGCUUGAGAUCUGAUGUAAUUUUUCUUAGAACAAUAUCAUCAUUUUUUAAACAUCUUUCCUUGGGGAAAGAACAAUGAAUCCAAGGUAGCCAUCCCCAUUAACAAGAUUUUAUAGAUUUCUAUAAAAUUGCUGCAAGCUUUAGCUUUACCAUAUCAACAUUAUCAUCUAUAUUGAUAAAAUUUAACGAAAGUUUUCUCGAACUUCCCCUGGUUCAAGAUGCAAGUGAGAAGUUUCAUCUAAUUCUGUUACUUUAUCUUCAAAAAUCAACAAAUAAAAAGUAUAGUAACAAAAUUCAAUGAAAUUGAACUAUAUUGAUAAAAUUCAACAUUAAGUCUUUAACAUUGUUGAAAAAUUGGUUUUAAUCCCCUAGACAUUUCAUAGCUUAACAGUUUUUUUUCCCAAUUCUGACUAUCUGAGUUUUACUUAACAAAAUUGAGAGUCAAUUUUGAAUGUUGCUGAAAUCUCAUACAAAUUCAUGGCUAAAGUGAAUUUCAUCUAUGGUGAUUCAUAUCUCCUAUCAAUUUUCAUUUGGAGUUUUGAGAAUUUGGAAUGUUUACUGGAUGACAAGGAGAAUAUCAAUUUCAGUAGCACAUCUCUUCUUCAAUCUCUUUAUAUUGUAGAUUGUGAAGCUCUAAAAUCAUUAUCAUGGAGUGGUAAGUUACCCGUGCAGCUUAAGACGUUGGAUAUUGAUAAGUGUCCAGAGCUUGAAUGUUUAGCACGGGAAAUUGGGGAUAAUACUUGUCUUGAAACUAUUAUACUCCGGAAAUGUAGAAAUAUUAAAUAUUUACCCCAAAGACUGGACAAGCUCAGCCGUCUUCAAAAGAUUUCUUUAGAGUGUCCAAAUCUGGUUCGUCUUCCAGAAGCACUGCCCAACCUCCACCAUCUUCAAUAUUUGCUUAUAAGGGUGCAAAAUUCCAUCGGAGAAAGGGGUUUCCCUACCAACUUAACUUCCCUUCAAAUCGGUGAUCCCGAUAUUAGUAAGGCAGUAAUGGAAUGGGGAUUGCACUGACUCACCUCUCUUACAUAUCUUUUCAUUGAUGGUAGUAAUUGCACAGAUGCGACGUCGUUUCCUCAGCAGGAGAUAGGAAUGAAGCUGCCCCCCUUCUCUCGCCGAUCUUUCUAUCAAAAAUUUCAAAAACGUAAGAAAGCUAUCCUCCAACGGCUUUCAAAACCUCACCUCUCUUCAAUAUUUGUCGAUCUCCCAUUGCCCAAAGCUCAAAUCCAUUCCCCGAAAGGAAAUGCUUCCCUCGCUUUCGCUACUAUGGAUUAGGGAUUGUCCGGUGCUAAAGAAAAGGUGCAAAAGGGACGAAGGAAAACAAUGGUCCAACAUCGCCCACAUACCUGAUGUAACAAUUGAUGGUAGAUUCAUCUACGAAUGAUCAAGAGGAAGAAUCAGAGCAUGUCAACUUAGGUAUUUAAAGCCUACAACUAAUUACUAUUUUAACUGAUUUUUUUUAUGUACAAAUAUAUCUACACAAACCAUGACAUGGGCGAACAUUGAAUUUUUUUGCAUUUAAUUCUGAAAUAUUUUAGCAUGAAAUCUUGUGGUUCCUUGUUUAUUUGUUUUAGCAUGAAAAAUAGUAUUGAUAUGUUGCAAAGGAGAUAGUAAGGUAACUAAAUGCUAAUAUGUUCACUUGUUAAAAUGGAGAUGGCAGGAUUUAUAUUCUGCAUCUGAAAUUUGAGUUCCAAAAAUAUUAAAAUGUGAUUUCAAAUUCAUUUCAAGAGCAAUGGACAAGGUUGUGCAAUCCAUGGCAGAUUACUUCUAGUAUGCUAACUCAUGAUUAGUGUAGAGAUCAGAUAGUUGAAAGCUUCUCAUGUAAUUAGUUCCACCUGAAUUGAUUUUGAGCAAUUCAAGUUUAAAGUUUAACCUUUAAUAGACUCUAGCUUAGAAAACUAGCUAUGCUUUUCUUAAUGCUCCUUAUACAAAUGCUUUCUUGUGGAGAAUUCUGGUUGUUAAUGUGAGGGUUUUGGAACUUACAGAGUAUGGUUCCAUGGUUCAUAUGGAUUUCUUAAUCUGAUCUCAGUGUUUUUAAUGAAAUUCAUUGCUUUUUUCCUUGUGCUUAAUUUGAUGCAGCUUACCUACAACUUAUAUCUUGUUUCUUCAGUUUCAUAUAAUUUGGUUUGUUUUUGCAAUGAUCGUUUAUUUGAUUUUCUUUCUCACCUUCUCUGUAAUAUGAAAUCAGUUAUAAAAUUUCAACAUCCUGGAGAGCGUUUAUUUUGUGCACAAUUCAGUCUUUAAAUUAUCUUCCUCUUUUAUAAAGAGAAACAAUUUCAAAUUUUUGAAACUCAUUUUCUGUUGACCAUCAAAUGAUGUUUUGUUGACCAUCCUAUUUUCUACCAACAAAAUGUCACAAAAAUGUAGAAGUCAAUUUCUGGAAACAUAAAAUCUUAGUUGAAGCUGAAUUCAGAAUUAAAACCAAUACUUUUAUGGCAGGUUUGGUAGACAUUAAGAAUAAGCUUCGUAGCAUUAGAUUAUGAGCAGACUUGAAAUCCAUCUCUUUUCCUCUUAAUAAAUGAGGUUGCAGCUUUCACUUCUCUCUGCACGUCCUUCAAGCUACUACAAGUGAGAACAACUAUUAGAAUUUUUCUGAUUUCUGUCUCCUUUGUGCAAAUGCAUAAUUAGUGCCUUCAUUUCAUAUCACCAAAUUAUGUUCAUUGGAUUUGAGCAAAAGCAGUACAAUGACUAUAGCCAACUCACAAGAUGUUCUACCAAUUAAUGUUAUAUGUUUUUUGUUCUCUACUUCCUUAUGCCAUGUAAGCAUCACAAGUGUUUGAGAAUCAAUGUAUUAAGUUUUUUGCUACUCAACACUAACAACAGAAUGCUUUGGCCUCGUAUGACAGGAUGAACAAAACUCAUGAUUUUGUAUCUCAUUCCAAUGCCCUUAGAAUCAAUGAUAGAAAGUUUCCUAGGCAGCAUGUGAGUGUAUCAUGUUGAAAGAAAAUUAAGAUUUUGGGUUCAACUAUGAGUCUAAGUUGGAUGUGUGUGCACUAGUGGAUUUCUUGAUCCUUUCUUCCCCAAAAUAUGAGAUUAUAGAUGGGCAGUGAUGUUGAUUCAAGAAUGUCCAAUUCCAAAGAGUUGAUGGUUAGAGAGCUGUAUAGUGUAAGAAACUGUUGCUGACCGCCAAAAGUGAUUUGAUGGAGGAAUGGGUGGCUAUGGGAAAAAUGGAUUAGAAAGAGAGCAUCUUAGUUUAAAUGAACAAUUAGGCAUAGUUUCUAUGGAUAGUUCACAUUUGCUGUGAGAUUGUUUCUUCUUAGCACAUUCAUGAUGAGCUAAUUUGAAUUGACAAUGAAUGUUUAGCACGGGAAAUUGGGGAUAAUACUUGUCUUGAAACUAUUAUACUCCGGAAAUGUAGAAAUAUUAAAUAUUUACCCCAAUGACUGGACAAGCUCAGCCGUCUUCAAAAGAUUUCUUUAUGGGGUUGUCCAAAUCUUGUCCGUCUCCCAGAAGCUCUGCCCAACCUCCACCAUCUUCAAGAAUUGAUUAUAGAUGAAUGUCCAAGGGUGCAACAUUCCAUCGGAGAAAGGGGUUUCCCUACCAACCUAACUUCCCUUGAUAUCUCUGACCCCAAUAUUAGUAAGGCAGUAAUGGAGUGGGGAUUGCAUAGACUCACCUCUCUUACAGAUCUCAAUAUUGAUGGUAGUAAUUGUACCGAUGCGGUGUCGUUUCCUCAGAUGGAGACAGGAAUGAAGCUGCCCCCUUCUCUCACUUAUCUUUCUAUCGAAAAUUUCAAAAAUGUAAGAAAGCUAUCCUCCAACGGCUUUCAAAACCUCACCUGUCUUCAAUCUUUGGUGAUCUACCAUUGCCCAAAGCUCAAAUCCAUUCCCCGAAAGGAAAUGCUUCCCUCGCUUUCGCAACUAGAAAUUUGGUACUGUCCAGUGCUAAAGAAAAGGUGCAAAAGGGAUAAAGGAAAACAAUGGUCCAACAUCGCCCACAUACCUAAAGUAAGAAUUGAUGGCAGAUUCAUCUACGAAUGAUGAAGAGGAAGAAUCAGAGCAUGUCAACUUAGGUAUUUUAAUCCUACAACUAAUUACUGUUUUAACUGAUUUUUUUUAUGUACAAAUAUAUCUACACAAACAUUGAAUUUUUUAGCAUUUAAUUGUGAAAAAUUUUAGCUUUUCUUUCCCCCAUAAAUAAAUCGAACAUGUAAUCUUGUGUUUCCUUGUUUAUUUGUUUUAGCAUAAAAAAUAGCAUUGAUAUGUUGCAAAGGAGAUAGUAAGGUAACUAAAUACUAAUCUGUUAACUUAUCCGAAUGGAGAUGGCAAGAAUUAUAUUCUGCAUCUAAAAUUUGAGUUCCAAAAAUAUUAAAAUGUGAUUCAAAUUCAUUUCAAGAGAAAUCGACAAGGUUGUGCAAUCCAUGGGAGAUUACUUCAAGUAAUAUGCUAACUCAUGAUCAGUGUAGGGAUCAGAUAGUUGAAACCUUCUCAUGUAAUUAGUUCCUCCUGAAUUGAUUUUGAGCAAUUCAAGUUUCAAGUUUAACCUCUAAUGGACUCUAACUUAGAAAACUAGCUAGGUCUUUCUUAAUGCUCCUUAUACAAAUGCUUUCUUGUGGAGAAUUCUGGUUUUUAAUGUGAAGGUUUUGGAACUUACAGAGUAUUGUUCCAUGGUUCAUAUGGAUUUCUUAAUCUGAUCUCACUUUCUUUAAGGAAAUUCAUUGCUUUCUUCAUUGUGAUUAAUUUGAUGCAGCUUGCCUACAACUUAUAUCUUGUUUCUUCAGUUUCAUAUUAUUUGGUUUGUUCUUGCAAUGAUCGUUUAUUUGAUUUUCUUUCUCACCUUCUCUGUAAUAUUAAAUUAGUUAUAAAAUUUCAACAUCCUGGAGAACAUUUAUUUUGUGCACGGUUGAGUCUGGAAAUUAUCUUCCUCUUUUGUAAAAGGGAAACAAUUUCCAACUUUUAAGACUCAUUUUCCAUUGACAAUCAAAUGACCAUCCUAAUUUCUACCAACCAAAUGUCCGAAGAAUGUAGAAGUCAAUUUCUGGAAACUAAUUUUUGUAAAACAAAUAGAAUCUUAGCUCAAUUCUGAAUUAAACCCACUAUUUUUAUGGCAGGUCCAGUAGACAUUAAGAAUAAGCUUCGUAGCUUUAGAGUAUGAGAAGGCUUGAAAUCCAUCUCUUUUCUUCUUAGUAAAGAGGAUUGCACCUUUCACUUCACUCUGCGCUUCCUUGGAACUACUACAGGUGAGAACAACUGCUAGAAUUUUUCUAAUUUCUAUCUCCUUUGUGCAUAUGCAUGAUAAGUGAAUUCAUUUCAUAUCAUCAAAUUAUGUUCAUUGGAUUUGAGCAGAAGCAAUAUAAUGACUGUAACCACUUCACAAGAUGUUCUACCAUUUUUUUUUUUUAUUAGUAAUGUUCUACCAAUUAAUGUUAUAUGUUUAUUGUUCUCUGCUUCCUUAUGCCAUGUAAGCAUCACAAGUAUUUCUAAAUCACGGUAUUAAGUUUUUUGCUACUCCACACUAACAACAUAAUGCUUUGGCCUUGUAUGGCAGGAUGAACAAAACUAAUGAUUUUGCAUCUAAUUGCAAUGCCCUCAGAAUCAAUGAUGGAAAGGUUUCCAAGCAGCAUGUGAGUGUAUCAUGUAGAAAGAAAACUAAGAUUUUGGGUUCAACUAUGAUUCUCAGUUGUAUGUGUGGGCACUAGUGGAUUUCUUGAUCCUUACUUCCCAAAAAUAUGAUAUCAUAGAUGGCAGUGAUGUUGAUUCAAGAACGUCCAAUUCCAAAGACUUGAUGGCUAGAGAGCUGCAUAAUGUAAGUAAUUGUUACUGAUUGCCAAAAGUGAUUUGAUGGAGGAAUGGGUGGCUAAGGGAAAAAUGGAUUAAAGAGAGAGCAUCUUAGUUUAAAUGAGCAACCAAGCAUAGUUUCCACAGACAGUUCACGUAUUGUUUCUUCUUAGCACAUUCAUGAUGAGCUAAUUUGAAUUCAUAAUGAAAUUAUUUAAUUGUUGCCUUCUAUGCUUAGACCUAUACAACCUUGGGAUGGAUAAAGGAUUAAAUAUAUGAAUGUCAAGAGUUUAAAAUGUCAUAGAGAAAGCAGCUCAACUUUCUUCCAUUUUCUUUUUCAUUGUUGAACUUUUAUGUUUCUGUUUUUCUACUUAAGGUUUUCUUUUACUGUCAAUAUCUGUCUCAGGUUUUAAUUAGUAUGCUUUGGUUUUACUUUCACAGUCAUUCUCCUUCUUGGUGGAAAAGAUGUGAAUUGAAGACUUAUGAUCCAAUGUUGCCAAGAAGAUAGUCAGGUAACUUAAUACUGAUAUGUUGACUUAUUAGAAUGGAUAUAGUAGGAGUUAUACUCUGCAUUUGAAAUUCAAGUUCCAAAAAGUUAAAUGUGAUUUCGAAUUCAUUUCAAGAGCAAUCUGUAAAGUUCCACCAGAAUUGAUCUUGACCUAUUCGAGUGUAAAGUUUAUCCUCUAACAGUUUCUAGCUUAUAAAACUAGUUGAAAGUUUAACUUAAAUUUUAAGAGCAAUUUGUAAAAUUCUCAUAUAAAGGCUUUCUUGUUGGAAAUUUUGGUUUUUAAUGUGAAUUUUUUGGAACUCACGGAGAGUUGUUCCAUGUGUCAUAUGGAUUACUUAUUCUGAUCUCACUCUUUUAAAGAAAAUUCAACGCUUUCUUUGUUGUGAUUAAUACAAUACAGCUUCCAUAUAACCUAUAGCUUGUUCCUUUGGUUUUAUAUUGUUUGUUUUGUUCUUGAAAUUAUCUUUCUCUGAUUUUCUAUCUCACCUUUCUACAAUAUGAAAAUCAGUUAUAAAAUUCCAAUUUUCUUCCCAGAGUGGAUUUCUGCACCGUGCAUGAGCCAUGCACUCUUUUUUAGCUACUAUUCAUAGAUGACGUUCCAUGGGUGGCGAUGAUUGUUUGGAUGCUAUCUUUUCUACAAGGGAGAAAUGAUGCUUCCCACCUUCUUUCACCUUACGAUGAGAGAAAUAAUGUUUGGAGUAGUUCUUACAAAAGGGCUUUCAAAAGAUCUGCAUACAGAGGUAUGGUGGCAGUUUUUACUUUUGAAGUAUAUUUAAAAAAAAAUAAUCUUUUUGCCCCGAAAAAAUUGAAAAUAACUUUUAGUGAAAACAAUGCUUCUGUCCCCAUUGAAAUUUAUCAAAAUUUGGAAUUUAGACCAUAUGAAUAAAAAUCUCUUAAUAGUAAUAAUGCAUAGUUAAGUGAACUUUUUCUUCACAAUGGAAAGCACUAUAUAUAUCACUGCUUCAUAUCACCUUUAACACUUGAAAUAAACCUAAACGAAUGUUUCAUAAAUUUAAAUUUUACAAUUAGCUAGAUAACUUUGCCCUCAUCAAGAUAAAAUUCUGCAUUUAUCCCUGUCCUGCCUUAAAAAUGGAGAAUACUUAAUUGCCAGUCAUUCAUCUCUUUUCAAAAGGAGUGCUUUAUGUUGAUAUUAAUGAUUCAUUUAUUAAUUAUGAAUAAAAAGAAGCAUGAAAGAUCUUAGAUAAUACUUCCUAUUUUCCUCCUAUUUACUGCACCAUGUCUAUUUAAAAUUCCUCUCAAUCAUUAUUAGCAGAAUUCUUUUUUACUUUCAAACAGUUAAUUAAAGUUUUAUAAUUACAAAGUGCUUCUCAUGUCAAACGUGCAGGAAUUUGAGUGCGAGUUACGUAAGAAAGAAUGAAAUUCAAACCUUUGGACGUAAUUCAUUGACAACAAUUAAUACUAAUGGUAAGUUUUCAAAAGUCAAUUUUUGAAUGCAUGCUUGAUAGAAUAAAGCCUUCCUCCUAAUUAUCAUGAAUGUAAUUUUCACAAUUCUCUGUUUCUUUAUCUUUAAUUCUAAGCUUAGAUACUUUGAUUACCAAUUUUCAAAUAAUUUGGUGGAGCGAUGAAGAUGAUCCCAAUGCAUUAUGAAUUUGGAAGCCAGGUAACUAUAUACUAAUUUUCAUGUUUCACAAAAUAUCAAGUAAAAUAGAAGCAUCAUAAUAAUGGUCUUGUAUUCAAUAUUCAAAUUCUAAAAUUCAACAUUUCAUUGAACUAAACACUAAGGUAGUCAUGCCAUGGAUUUUGAUAAAUCUGGAGUAUUGUGGCAACCUUGGUAUAUAUUAAGAAUAAGAUUUUGAGCAUUAGAGAAUCAGCAAGCCUGAAAUCCGUCUCUUUUCUUCUUAAUGCAAAGGCUGGUGCUUUGACUUGACUCUACACUUCCUUCCAAGUAAUACAGGUGAGAACAACUACUAAAAGUUUUAUGAAUUCUAUCUCCUUUGUGCCUAUUCAUAAUUAGUGCCUUCAUUUCAUAUCACCAAAUUAUGUUAUUUGGCUCUUCAGGAAGUCUUUGUUUCUGUCAUCAUUCAUUGGAUGUGAGCAGAAGCAGCAUAAUGACUGUAGCCACUCUACAAGAUGUUCUACCAAUUAAUGUUAGAUGUUUGUAGUUCCUUGCUUGCUUAUGCCAUGUAAGCAUCACAAGUAUAUGAGAAUUACUAUAUUAAGUUUUUUGCUACUCAACACUAACAACAGAAUACUUUGGCCUUUGUAUGACAGGGAUGAACAAAACUUAUGAUUUUGUAUCUCAUUCCAAUGCCCUCAAAAUCAACGUUGGAAAGGUAGAGUAAAGUAAUAACUGACUGCCAAAAGUGAUUUGAUGGAGAAUUGUGUGGCUAAGGGAAAAAUGGAUGAGAAAGUGACCACCUUAAUUUAAAUGAACAAUGAGGCAUAGUUAUGGUGUUUUAACGACUUGAUGUGCCUCCAGUCUCCACAGACAGUUCAUACUUGGUGAGAUUGUUUCUUCUUAGCAUGUUUUAUAAGGUGAUUAUUGAUGUUAGAAAUUUAGCUUUUUAUUGAUAACUUCACGUCAUAUCGUUUACUUGUACUAGAGAAGACUUUUGUAAUCCUAUUAUUUUGAGUAGUGGAAGAAUUUGAACGGACUAUGGUCCCAUGGUUUUUCCCCUUACCAUGGGGUUUUCCACGUAAAAUCUGGUGUCUCGCUCUUGUGGGCUGUUGAUUAUUUCAUUUUUUUACAUUAAUAACCAAUUAUGAAUUACUACUUCAAUUAUCAUACAAUGUAUUUAACUUUUAUAAAGAGGGAUAAAAAUUUGGAGUUCUGGUUGUCCGGUUGUAAUGGUAGACUGUAAGGACAAUGCUUAGUGCUACCUUUUUAUCUUGGUUCUACUGAUUAACCUUGAGGAGUGAUGUCAAAGGAAUAUAUUCAAUAUGGUGGGCGUGAAGUUCUAUGAAGAGAAUUGAACAAAUGCAUUUCCACCAUUAUAGAUUCUUCAAUGCCAAGAUAUGCCAGAGUUGGAGUGGAAUUCUUACCAAGUUGAUGAGCAAAACGGGAUCUUCACUUGCCUCCAUGAUCUUUCUGUCAAGAAAUGCCCCAAAGUAUUGAGAAGUCUACCAAGUUGUCUUCCUUGCUUGGAAAAACUUGUGAUUUAUGAUAAUUGGUAAUUUUAAUUCCAAACCCUUCAAGGCUAUGUGAAUUAGAAAUUGUUGGGUGCAAAGAAGUGUGACAUGAGAGUUCUCUUUAUCUUUGCUCAUUCAAAAAAAAAGUCUCUCGAACACCCCAAAGUUUACUUAUGAUGUUAGGCUUAAUAAAAAUUAAAUUUCUUCGAAUUGGUGGUUGUCGGAGAGCUUACUUAUUUGAUGCAGAACAUCGGGGGCUGGUUAGCUUCUGCAGGUUUAGGCUUCAGCAUGUCAAGAUAUGGAGUUGCUCCAAGUUGGCCUAUCUUUAAUCAAGUGGCCGCUUACUCGUGGGGCUUACACACCUGCGGAUUGACCUUUGCCAAAUGCUGGAAUCUUUUGCACAAUUAGUUCACAGUAACACUUCUUUUGAAUUCAUUUUCAUCGGUAGGUGUGGAAAGAUCGACUACCUACCUGAUCAUGACUGCUAUUGCUAUCUGGAAGAAUAGGUACCAUUGUUUCAUUUCCUUUAUUUGGCACAAGACUUUCCACUGCCAUUCCAACAAAACCUAUGCAUUAUUGCCUACUGCCAACAGUUUCCAUUGCAAAAUCUGUAAUCGUAUUGAUACAAGGGGUUGCCUCCAUGUGACAAUCAUUAAUUUAACAAUUUCACUGAAUGACAAAAUUAUGAUCACCACAUCAACUAAAUUCAAGGUUCAACAUAAGUCAAAAGAUGUAAAAUAUAAAUAGUAGUAAGAAAUGGUAUAUAAAAGUUACUUUAGUAAACAGAAAUUUCUUGACAACUUAAUCUUAAUUUGUAAAUAACCCGUGACAUGAUACAGCCUAGGUGCAUAUAAAUAACUCGUGACAUGGUACAAAAAUUUUUUGUUUUUUUAUUUCUGUUUGUCGAUCGAAAAUCAACCCAAUAUGAAAAUAAAAGACAAUAAGAUAAAAUAACUGAAAGCCCGUGACAAAAACUUGGACUUAUCCCAAAUACAAAGCUACAAAAAAAUUUGACUUAGAGUUGGAUGUCAUCUAUUGUGUCCCCCAUGUCCCAAUUCCCCACUCUUUCCCAAAAGUUACUAAGCCAACGCAACCAAAAAGCCUAGGUGCAGAGCUCAUGGGCCACUCCCAGCCUUGAAUUGGGCACAUCGAAAAGUACUCUAUGGUUCUGUUGCUGCGUAUUAACUAUCACAUUCAACACUGAAUUCACAUUCUUUGGUGCGGAUGCCAUGGCCAAGCACGUGAUGCUGCUUGCUGUGCUAUGGAUUAGUAGGUUAUCGCGUGGCAGUGUCAUGUUCAUGCCUGCAAGCAUGAACGUUAUCGUCGGUGCCACAAUAGGGACGGUGUAACAUGUGUUGAACUCACAGAGCAGCCGAGGGAUGUCCCGUUGGCCACCUUGACUCGCCUCUGGAACUUGUCUCGGAUGGCUCUAUAGGCCGGUGCUACUAUCCGUGUAAAGAUGGCACCUAAUGUUGAAUAGCAAAGUUUAGUGACUUUUCAAUGACAAGAUAAAAUACAUUAAGGGCAGAUUUUGAAAUGAAGCUCUUUGAGUUAACAUAAACUUUAACAUAUUAUCAAACUUUUUACAAAAAAAUGAAAUUUUUUAUUUUCAUUUAUUUAGAGAUAUUAAUAUAUAUUUGCUUUUGUAUAAUAUUUUGUAAAACAAUAUUAUUAAUACUAGACCACUAUGGUUAUUUUGAAAAUAUCCAACAUAGAAUUGCCUCAAUGUAGUCGUGACUAUCUCUAAAAAGUUGUCUUUAAAUUAUUUUAUUUAUUUACAAUUUUUAUUUUGAAAAGCAAGAUGUAUAGAUUUCUUCCAUAAAAGGAAAUGAAGGAGCAGAGGUAAACAAAAAAUACCACUUGGCUCCACUGGCGAAGGGUAGUUAAGUCCGUCCCCCAAGUUUUUUAAAAUAUUUUAUCCAUUAUAUAUAUUAUUUAAUCAAAGAUGGAAGAUGGUAUAUUUAUCGAGAUCGUGGUCCUCUAAAAAUUUUAAUAUUUUAAUUCCCUUUAAAAUAAUUUUUUAUUCAAUAAUUAAUAUAAAUAAAAAAUAAUAAAAUGACGUUAUAAAUCUUACUCAAUUUUAUUUCUCUACAUAUCUUUCUCUCUCCUCUUUCUCCCUCUUUCUUUUUAUUUUUUUUCUCUUUUGUUUUUUUAUUUAUAUAUUUUUAAAAAGCAAUCAAUGAAAUUUCAUUCUUUAAUGUAUGUAUACAAAAGCUACCUCAUUUUGGUAGUAUUACAACAAAAACAUAUAGGACAUGUCCCUAAUACGAGAUAAGUUACGUAUAAUGAAACAUAACACACUUAAAACCUAGCAGUCUACUACCAUGAACAACCAAAGUUCGGAGGCAUUUCCUUUAGAAACACAUGGCUCCUGCAUAAUCUCCAUAUAGAGCUUUCUGGUUUACAAAAAAUCUCAACAAGCAUUGGGUGUUGUCCUUACUAGGCAAACUUCACUUUAACUAUACAUCAAUAUUAAAAGGAAAAUUAGUUCAAAUCAGCAACAAAAUGCAUAAAUACGAGUCUUAGUGGGUUGCACAUGUUAUGAAGUUGGAGCCAACAAACAAUAUCUUUUUAUUUUUACUUUACUCUCUUUUUUGUAAUUUACCACUAAAAUAUACUUCAUUUUUUAAACGUUGGGCACAAUUUUUUUAAAAGACUAUUAUAAAUUUUUUUUUUAUUUACAUGUUAUAGAAAAUUAUUAUCUAUUAUGAAUAUUUUGAUUGUUGGUUGACUUUUUUUUUCUUUUAAUUGAGGGAGGAGGGAUUUAAACUCUGCUCUUUAGACAAGGGGAUCAUACACCAACCAAUGAGCCAAAUGUUCGAACGAGUGCUGAUUAUUGAUUAAAUGUAAUAUAUUAAUUUUAAAAAUUUUUAACCCUUAAUCCUCUUCAUCUUUGAUCUUCCACAAAAGUUGAAUAGCGUUGUCCUGCUUGGCUCUACUGUAUACACAACCAACCCUACUAUUGUUGCGAGCAGGUAAAAAAUAUACAAAAGUUUUUGUACAAAAAUAUUGCCUGCAUUACAGUCGGCACUACCCAAAAGAAAAAGAAAAAGCUCACAACCAACUUACAGACAGCUACAAGAAGAAAGAAGAAGCAGCAUAAAUGUUACUUACAGUUUAUUUUUUAACCAUGCUAUAUUUUAUUAAAAUAACCAUGAAAUCAAUUUAUUCAGUAAAUAGAUAAAUACAUAAAUAACUAAAUAAGUAAAUAAAACAUUACUUUAUCAGUUUUAAAUAUGUGAAUAUAUUGUUAUAUUAAUUUCAAUAAAAUAUUAUAAUGAUUUUUACUAAUUUUCAUUAAUUUUAUUAAUUUUGUAAAUAUAAAAUAUUAUUAUAAAAUUAUAUUAUAUACCAAUUUAUAUCUAAUUAUCUUAAUGAUCAUUUUCCAUCUCAUGACACCCAUUAUGCACCAUUGCUUGUUGUCAAAGACAAGUCACAUCGUCGGUUUUAAUCUUAUUGGUGCAACUCCCAAUCUCAUCGUAAUGCUAUCAACCUAACCAUAUCUGUUUCUAUUUUCAUUACUAUCAAUGUUAUUCCUAUCGAUGAAAUUUUUGUUAAGUUUACAAUUUUAGUAAAAAAAUCUUAUUUUCCUUCGCUAAAUAUCAGUAGGAUAUCUAUAUUAGUAAUUUUAUGAAAUCACUACCUUGCCAACAAAAGAUCCUUAUUUACUCAAUUCUUAUCCACCAAUAACGUUUAUUUAUCAUAUAAACUUUUUUUUUGUACAAAAUUACAUGUAAAAGUAAAAUAUUUUUAAUCACAAUCAAGUUCUUAAAUUAUAAUCACAACCAGCCUAAUGAAAUUUAGCUUGCAACAAAUUGAGAAUUAAGAAGAAAGAAGUAAGGAUGGAUAAAUGAAAAAUCUUCAAUGGAGAGAAUCAAAUACAUUAGCAUUUACCCUUUAUACAAUCCAGUAGCUAGAAGCCCCCAUUUUCUUUUAUUUUAAUUUGUUAUCUCUUAAACAAUUCUUUUUAUCAGCACACAACGAGCGAAACACGAUUAAUAGAGUUGAAUCAUAAAAUUCACAGCAAAACAUUUAAAUAUUUGAUUCAAUAAUAUUUAUAUUUUUUCCCGAAUUCAGAUUGCAUUCUCCAAUUAAAAGUAUAGACUUCACAUAGAAGACUAAAAUCAAAUGCAAAAGUACUCAGUGCCCACGGUUGUACAGUCCAGGAUUUUCACCUUUCUUGGGAGGUUUAUUUUGGUUCGGGAGACAGUCAGUGUAACGUAGCCUGUCGCAAAUAACCGGGUUGUUAGGGGCAGAAGUGCCUCCAGUCCCAGUGCCAGAGCUACCAAGCACGCUACCAAUGUGGGAGUCGAACAAGAACUCCAACUCCAAGUUAUUGUGAGCAACAGGGGGGAAGAUGGAACUCCUCCAUUGAAGUAGCGGUUGCUCCAUGUUGGGUUGCAUGAAGAAGAACCAUUAGAGUGAUUAGGAUUCCUAGAGACAAAUCCUUUCCCACUACUCUAAUAACUUCCAUUUUUCUCUCUUUCUUUUUUCCUGCUCAGCCGACUCUUAGUAAAUAGCUACUACUCUCCAUCAAUCCAAGGGAAUUUCCUGUCUUAUUUAUAGAGAAAAAAGAAAAAGUUGAGGUGAACAUUAGAUGUCCAUAUACAAUUUGGAUAACACAUUUGCUGUUUUUUUUUUAAAAACAAUUAUUAUGAAUAGUAACACUUAUUAAUUUCUAAUGCUUUUUAAAAGCAUUUCUUGAGUACUAAAAAUAAAGUUAGUGAUCCCUUUGUUAAUAUUUUUUUUAACUUACCAUUGUUGUAUUCAACAGGGUCCAUAUAUAUUUGGAUUUGAAUGAGAAUCCCAUGUGAAUACACAAAAAUUCAAACCGAAUUAGACCCUGAAAGAACGACUUUCACAUGGUUGCAUGCACAAGUGUCUUUUGCUAAAGCUGACAAAAUCUCAUUCGUAAAUCUGCCUUUCUUCAGCACUGAAAACAAAAUUUAAGUUUUCACAAAAAUGAUGUAUAGACAUUUAAUUUGAGAUGAAAGAAUAUUAAUAGUGACUAUUAGGAGCAAGGAUAUGUUUUCCGCAUAUAAUGAACAUAGCAUAAUCACCUUGGGCACCCAUUUUUCCAUUAGAACCAACUCCUUACAGGUAAAGAGACUUCAUCCACAGGAAUAAGCCCAAUUGCAGUAGAAUGCAUAAUAUGUACUCCCAAAAUCUGUAUAUCAAACAAUAGAAACGAUAGCUGUUUGUUUCAGUCAAUUGAUUGUUCUAUAAAUUAAUCUCUUCAGUCAAAAGAAUUAGAUAAAUGAAUAACUUGUUCUCAAAUGAAUUAGGUAAAGAAUUACGUAAAGAAAGUGAUAGAGGAGGUUGGCUGAUGGACAGUACCAUGGAUUUCCUAUAGACCCUUUGCCAUUCAAGACUCUCGGUAAGGGAUUAUGUGGCUUCCCUUGAAGAAUAAUGAGCCGAAAUUUAACGUGGAUGGAUUUGUUAAAGGUAAAUCAGGCCCAGCUAGAUGGGGAGGAGUCCUCGGACAGCAGUAGAAAUGUCAUUGGCCUUUUAUUUUGGCCCCCUGGGUGAUAUAGACUCGAAUAGUGUGGAGACACUGGCAAUCAAAGACGCCUUACAGUUUUAAGGCUUUCAUUGAAAAAAAUUAGCAGUUAAGUACUCAAGGAUCUGUCGUUUGUCCAAGCUUAGUGACAGCCUUACAAAACCUACAAGAGGAAAAAUUUUUAAUUUCAUUGAACUUGAUAUUGUGUUUUCAAUUCUAUUAUUUUUUGACAAACAAUACAAAAAAUUAACAACAUUAUUUAUUAUUUGUAUUUAUGAAAUAUUUUAUUGAAUAUUUCAAUUUUGUUGAUUUUUAUAAAUUUUAUCAAUUUUUGUUAAAAAAUCAACAAAAUUAAACAUAUAGUAACAAAAUUCAACAUAACCUAAUAUAAUAACAAAUUUGAUCAUACUCCCACAGAAGCACAAGUAAUGAAAUGAAAUUUAUCAUAUAAAUUUUGUUUACCAACAUACAUGUAAAGAUAAAAAUUAUAUUCACAAUCAUGUAUUACAUUUCAUAUAAUUACAAAUUAAUAAAAUAAAUCAAAUAGACAAAUCAACCAACAAACUAGUAUAAAUCAGAUAUAUUCAAUAUAAAAUUGUAUUAUACCUGCUAAUGAUGAGAUUUGAACUUGAAAUAUCAACAGUCUAAUUAAGGUCUCGUAGUUGUCAUUAAGUUAAUGUCUCAUUAUUUCAGCUAAGCAAAGCAAUGAAUAUUUAGUUCUCUAUCAUUCUCCAGUCACAACUUCACCAAUGCGAUAGCCUGUAUAAGCACCAUUUCCAUCCUCAAGUAUUCUAUGAGAUGUGUCCCUGACUCAUAACGAGAACCAUGCCAAUGCCCAUGUUAAAACUCCAUCUCAUCUUAGUAUCUUCAAUUUUUCCAGCCUGUUGGUAUCCAUUAGAACACAGCUGGCAGUUCCCAAGAAUCCUUAUAGAGAGAAGCACCAUGGUCUUUUGGAAACACUCGAGGUAUAUUGUCUGUGAAAGCCACCACCUGUUCUAUGAUAUAUGCUAUUCUCUUUUCCCCUCCUUUGCUAAUUAAAUCUAGCAUCAGCUUAACAUCAGUAAUAAAAAAUUUCAAGACUUCUGAUUACCUUCAGUUUAGGUGUGUGGAUCAUAUUGAUAGGGGUUGCCUCCAUGUGACAAAUCAUUAAUCUAACAAUUUAAACAAUUACAAAAUUAUGAUCGCCACAUCAACCAAAUUCAAAGUUCAACAUAGAUCGAAGGAUGUAAAAUAUAUAAAUAGUAGUAGGAAAACGUACAUAAAAAUUUCUUGACAACUUAGUCUUAAUUUGCAAAUGAUGCGUAACAUGGUACAACCUAAUAAACUAAUCAUCAAUCCAAUAUGAGAAAAGAAGACAUAAGACCAGAUAAUAGAAAACCCGUGACAUAGACUUAGAUUUACCCCAAAUACAAAACUACAAAAAUGAAAAAUUGACUUAGAUUUGGAAGUCAUGUAUUCUGUCCCUCAUGUCCCAAUUCCCCACUCUUUCCCAAAAGUUACUAGGAGAAUGCAACCAAAAAGUGAAGUUGCAAAGCUCAGGGACCACUCCCAGCCUCGAAUUAGGGACAUCGAAAAGUACCCUAUGGUUCUGCUGCUGCAUAUUGGUUAUCAUAUUCAAUACUGAAUUCACAUUAUCUGGCACAGAUGCCAUGGCCAAGCAUGUGAUGCUGCCUACCGUGCUGUGGCAGUGUCACGUUCAUGCCCGCAAAACAUGAAUGUUAUCGUCGGUGCCACGAUAAGGAGGUUGUACUUGAAUUCUUAUCUUUUGGCUUUACUUUCUAAAAAAGCAGCAUUCUCUUUAUCAUAUUCUUUGAAGACUUUUGACUAAGGAUAGCAAAAAGACAAUACAUCUCUCUUUCUUACUAUAGUAAGUUGAUAAUAAGUUUGUACGAUUUCGUUGAAUUUUCUACAUAUUUUAUCAUGACUCUAUGCUUUGCAAAGAGAGUAUUAAUUAAGCCUUAAAAGCAAAGAAAUGAAUAUUUAUUUUCAUUUUCAAAUGCUGGAUUCCAUUGCAUAUUCAGUUCACAAUAACAAUUGCCUUGAAUUCAUUUUCAUUGGCAGGAGUGGGAAGAUUAUGUUCCUGAUCAUGACUGGUAUUGCUAUCUAGAAAAAUAGGUACCAUUGUUUCAUUUCCUUAAUUAGGCACAAGACUCUUUCCACUGCCACAAAACCUAUGAUUAUUACCAGGCGCCAACCGUUUCCAUUGCAAAAUCUUUAAUUAUAUUGAUAGGGGUUGCCUCCAUGCAACAAACAUUAAUCUAACAAUUUAACCAAUAAUAAAAUUAUGAUCACCAGUACAUCAACCAAAUUCAAGGUUCAAUGCCAACCUCGAAUUGUGACGUAGAUUAUGUUAGCAGAUGACAAGUAAAUUUAGUGCUUUUCUUAUGUAGUUAGGAGUCCUAUCAGAAAUUAUAGGUAUAAUAAAAUUUACUUUUUAUUUUAAUUUACUUGGACGAUAAGUAAGCAUAGGUUUAGGAAUUAAGUUUUCUUGCACUUUAAGGAAGUCUAGGGUAUAAUAUUAUUUUAUUUAAAUUUGUUUAUUUGCAUUCCAAGUUUAGGUCAAGUAGGAUUAGGUUAUUAUAAAUAGCACCUUUAGACUUAGUUAUUAGAUAAUUUUUUUUGAAUUAUUAAAUAACAUUAUAUUUUUUCUCAAAUUUUGAGUGUAAGUUUCUAUGUUUGAAACUUGGUUAUCAACUAUAAAGACUCUAUCCAGUGUUAGUCUUUGUUUUCACGUUAACUUACUAUAGCAAAUUGUGCACAUCAAAAAGUACCUUAUGGUUUUAUUGCUAUAUAUUGGCUAUCACAUUUAGCACUGAAUUCACAUUCUCUGUUGCGGAUGCCAUGGCCAAGCAUGGGACGCAGCUUAACAAAGUUUAGUGACUUUUCAAUCACAUAGUAUAUUGGAUGUUGUUUAAGGGAAAAUUUUGAAAUGGAGUUCUUUAAGUAAAGUUCUUUGAAUCUCCAACUUAAAAUAAUUAAAAAUUAAUUAUAGUUUAACCCCAAACUCCCUAACCUCCAACCGACGACAUUUUUUUUUGUUGUUUGUUUUUUUUCUUUUUCUUUGUGGUUGUUCUCGGUUGCUAGAGGAUCUAGGGUAUUUUCUUUGGUUUUUGUUGUGGCUAGGUAUUUUUUGGUUGCUGGUUCUUGCUAGGGAUUUUAGGGUUUUCGAUUGCUUCGUCCCUUUCCUUGUAGCUACAGUGUUCCUUUAUAUAUCGGCUCUCAAUCGGGUGUAUCGUCUCCACUACCUUGCCAGAUGCGAGUUUUUGACGUUUGGCACUGAUGGUGGUGCCUAACAAGGUGCGUCCGCACCCUGCCAGACGUACGUCUUUCUCUUUUUUUUUUCUUUUUUCAUUUUAUUUCAUCAUUUUUUGUUUCAUUUUCAUUUUUCAUUUUUUCAUUCAUUUUUUUAUUUUGUUUUUUUUGUAUCUUAUUUGUUGUUUUUUUUUCUUAUUAUUUAUUUUUUUGUCUGUCUAAGUAAUUACCUAUAAAAUUAAAGUGUCUACAGAAGGGAGCAGGAAAUCUCUUUGUGAGAGAACACAAGCCAUAGAACAAAGAACUCAAAAGACAGAGGAUAUUGGCCAUAUAUGCCUCCCUUAUGAACUGGGCAUAUUUUAGCAAUAACCCCUGAAAUGAAGCCAAUAUCGGGCAUUCAAAAGGAGCUUCCCUGCCUCAAAAGAACAAAAGCAUCACCAAGAAUAGUCCACCCAGUCCUAGUACACUACUAGUUAGUAGCUGAGCAAAAAAAAAAAAAAAAAAAAAAGUACUAGUAGUUAGUAGUAAAACUACUAGUAACGAGUAAUGUCCUCAUUAUUUAAUAUGGUUUAUCAAUUCUUCAACAAUUCAGUUUUAUCGAUUUUUUUAUUUUCUAUUUUUUAUCUUCUAAUAUCAACUUAAAUGUAAAAUUGUGAUGCAUCUUUUGAUGAUUGAGUUAGUGGAUUGUUGAAGACUAUACUUGGAUCAUAUUGAUAGAAAAAAAAAAGUAAAUUUGACUUAAAAUUAAUAUGAAAUAUAGAAAAAAUAAUAAGACUGGUAUAAAUAUUCAAAAAAGAAAAGUUGACAUAAUUUUGUAAUGAUUUUAAAAAAGUGGAUAUUCAAUUUGAAAUAGAAAAAGUAUAUAUUAUUACAUCAAUUAUUAGUUUAAUAAUUUAUUUUCACUCAAUAAGUAGAUAAAAUUUGAAGUCAAGAUGAUAUUUAUAUUGCAUCGAUCAAGAACACUUAUUGUUUGUUACAUAUAUACAUAUGUUUAAUUGAAAUUCUUUUCUACACAUCAUUGAAACAAUAUUUGGCCACUUGCAAUUAAUUUAAAAUUUAGAAAUGUUAUUUAUUUAUUUCUCAGUAUCAUGUCUACCUUAAAUAUGUUAACUCAUCACAAUACUUUUUACAAUCAUACCAAUCAUUUUAAAUUACAUUUCUACACAUUAAUUACAUUUUAAAUUCAACAAUAUGAUGUUAGUCACGUUUCUUGGUUCUUUCCUACUAUCGAUUAUUUGUUGAAUAGUCCAUCCGGAUAUCUUGAAUCUCAUUAUUUUUUUUCGAAAUAAUAAUUAUAAGUAAAAGAAUUUCAAUUACAAUCAACAUGUAUCACAUUCCAUCUGUGAAAAGAAUUAAUAAAUGCACCAACAUAUUAACUUAAAAGUUUUAAUUUUUUUUUUNNNNNNNNNNNNNNNNNNNNNNNNNNNNNNNNNNNNNNNNNNNNNNNNNNNNNNNNNNNNNNNNNNNNNNNNNNNNNNNNNNNNNNNNNNNNNNNNNNNNNNNNNNNNNNNNNNNNNNNNNNNNNNNNNNNNNNNNNNNNNNNNNNNNNNNNNNNNNNNNNNNNNNNNNNNNNNNNNNNNNNNNNNNNNNNNNNNNNNNNNNNNNNNNNNNNNNNNNNNNNNNNNNNNNNNNNNNNNNNNNNNNNNNNNNNNNNNNNNNNNNNNNNNNNNNNNNNNNNNNNNNNNNNNNNNNNNNNNNNNNNNNNNNNNNNNNNNNNNNNNNNNNNNNNNNNNNNNNNNNNNNNNNNNNNNNNNNNNNNNNNNNNNNNNNNNNNNNNNNNNNNNNNNNNNNNNNNNNNNNNNNNNNNNNNNNNNNNNNNNNNNNNNNNNNNNNNNNNNNNNNNNNNNNNNNNNNNNNNNNNNNNNNNNNNNNNNNNNNNNNNNNNNNNNNNNNNNNNNNNNNNNNNNNNNNNNNNNNNNNNNNNNNNNNNNNNNNNNNNNNNNNNNNNNNNNNNNNNNNNNNNNNNNNNNNNNNNNNNNNNNNNNNNNNNNNNNNNNNNNNNNNNNNNNNNNNNNNNNNNNNNNNNNNNNNNNNNNNNNNNNNNNNNNNAAAUAUAAUUAAAAUUAUAAAGACUUAAUUGAUAUUUUUUAUACAUACAAGUAAUAAUGAUAAAUAAAAAUAAUUUUUUUGGAUUUUUUUAUUGUUAUGUAAAUAAAAUUAAUUAUGAUCUUCUAUUUAUGAAUAAUUAAUUUUACACUUUUAAAUAUCUUUAUUUUAUAUGUAAUUAAUAUUUAAAAAUAGAUAAAAAAUAUUCAAAUAAAUAAAAAAGACGAGAUGGGUAAAAAAGCAUGUAGGACCAUUCAAUAAAUUUGGAGAGCAACGUACAGCUACUGCCCUUUACCAACCCCACUUCAACAGUAUGUUGGUCUGAGUUUCUUGGUUGUUUCCUGCGAUCCACACAUCUUGACUUGACGUCAACUCCAAAACAAUAUUCUUUUCUAAUUAAAUUCCAAGUAAAAUUUUAAUUAUAGUCAAAUAAUUUUCACAUAUCACAUAUUACAUCCAUAAAAAUAUUAAUAAGCAAGCCAAUUAAUAAGUAUAAAAUUUUUAGUUUAAUACAUUAUGCAUCUAAAUGUUUAAUUUAAUAGUAAUGCAUGUCUCUGUUAUGAAAGAGCAGAGUUUAAUUUUUUUUUUGGUAUUAUUGAUAUGAAACAAGAUUUAUCUAAUUUGUAAAUAAAAAUUUUAAUUAUGUUGAAUGAUUUUCAUUAAUUUUUUAAUAAAUUUAUAUUAUAAAAUCAGUUAUAUAGAAUUGAAAAGUUAAUUUUCUUCUUAUAUGUAAUUAUUAUUUGAAAAUAAAUAUUCACACGCGAGAAUAAAUAACAACAAGUGUAAAUAUUAUAUUAUUGGAAAGGGUUGAUGGGAAUGCACAAAAAACUUUCCAACCAAAUUAGGCCCAAAGAAAAGCACAACGCUUGACAUGACUUGACUUGCUCAGCUUGUCUAGAAACUGGUAACUCUUCACAACCACAUUAAUUCCCUAUGAUUUUUUCUGUAAUUCGUAUCAUCACCCAACCUCAAAAAUCUAGCAACCGAAUUAGAUCCAGAAACAGUUUCCACAAUCCAUUUUUCUUCUAGUCCAAUAUCCUUCUCUUGGAUUUUCUCUCUACUUCAAGUCUCUUGAUUCCUUUCUCAAACAUAUUGACCAUGGCUUUCGUUGCAGAGGCUGCUCUCUCUGCUUCCUUUGACUUGUUGUUGGCCAAGAUUUCCUCUUCCGACUUCAACUUUGUCACUGAGAAGCGGGUUCGCGAGGAGAUUGAGAACUGGAAAAAGACAUUGGAGAUCAUCCACGCAGUCCUUGCUGAUGCAGAGGAGAAGAAAAUGAAGAACAAGGCUGUGAAGAUUUGGCUGGCUGACCUCCAAGACUUGGCUUAUGACGUCGAUGACAUCUUGGACGAGUUUGCCACUGAAGCUUUGGGGCGUAAGUUGAUGAAAGCACAUCGGGCCAGCACUAGUAAGGCACAAAAAUAUCUUACUAGUUUAAAUCCACGUUCCAUCAUGUUUAACUCUAAGAUGAUGUCCAAGAUCAAAGAGAUUACAGGAAGGUUGGAAGAUUUAGCAACAAGAAAGAUUAACCUGCAACUAGAGAAAUAUGUUGGAAGGCCCAUGACAAUACCAAAAAGCAAGCCAAGCACUUCUCUGGUGAAUGAAGCUACUGUACAAGGCAGAGACAAAGACAAGAAGGCAAUAAUUGAUCUGCUUUUGAGGAAGGAUGGCAAUGAUGCUGGAGUUUCUGUGAUUCCCAUCACCGGCAUGGGAGGGAUAGGCAAGACAACCCUUGCUCAGCUUGUCUACAAUGACAGUAGCAUAGGAGAUUAUUUUGAUCUCAAAGCAUGGGUAUGUGUUUCUAAUGAAUUUGAUGUUAUUAAGAUAACGAAAACAAUUCUAGAAUCGGUCACUUUCCAGUAUUGUGAUAUACAUGACUUGAAUUUACUUCAAGUCAAACUAAAGGAAAAGCUAUCGAGCAAGAAAUUCUUGCUUGUUUUGGAUGAUGUUUGGAAUGAGAAUUAUGAUGAUUGGACAAAGCUUCGAUCUCCUUUUGAUGCCGGGAUUACUGGAAGCAAAAUAAUCGUAACAACACGUAAUUCUAAUGUUUCAUCAAUUAUGAGAACUGUUGCAGACCACUCAUUGCAAAUUUUAUCAGAUAAUGAUUCUCUCUGUAUGCUUGCUCAUCAUGCAUUAGAAAGAGGGGAUUUUACUGGGCAUCUAGACCUGAAAGAGAUCGGCAUGGAGAUUGUGAAGAAAUGUGGUGGCUUGCCUUUGGCCAUUAAAACUAUCGGAGGACUAUUGCGCACUAAGGUGAAUCAUGAUGCAUGGAACUACAUAUUAAAGAGUGAUAUUUGGAAUCUACCUGAAGAGAAAAGUGACAUAACUCCAGCUUUAUGGUUGAGUUACUAUUAUCUUCCUUCGCAAUUAAAGCAGUGUUUUGCAUAUUGCUCUCUAGUCCCUAAAGAUUAUGAAUUUAAAGAGGAGGAAAUAGUCUUGUUAUGGAUGGCAGAAGGUUUUCUAAAUGGAGCAAACACUAAAAGGAAUAUUCAAGAUUUGGGUAGCAAGUAUUUUGAAGAACUAGUAUCAAGGUCAUUUUUUCAAGCAUCUAACAAGAAUGAAUCCCAAUUUGUAAUGCAUGACCUAAUUAAUGAUCUAGCUCAGUUCGUUGCAGGAGAAGUAUAUUUUAAAAGGGAAAGGCAUGAUGAUAUGAACGGUCCAAUUAAUCGCACUCGCCAUUCCUCUUAUAUCAUUGGUAGUUAUGACGGAAUCCAAAAGUUUGAGACCUUUUUUGAAGCAAAGUCUCUACGAACCUACCUGCCCUUUAAGAUGAUGCAGCAAUGGAGAUGCUACUUGAGCAAUAACGUUCUCAAUGAUUUACUGCCGGCAUUAAAAUGCUUAAGGGUGCUCUCUUUGAAAAGGUACUACAUCACAGAAAUUCCUUCUUCUAUUGGAAAUUUGAAGCAUUUACGCUAUCUAAAUUUCUCUUAUACCAAAAUAAAAAGUCUCCCUGAUUCAAUAUGUAGUCUUUAUAAUUUGGAGACUCUUUUGUUGAGGUAUUGUGAGAAUUUUGAAAAACUACCCCUAAAAAUAGGGAUUUUAGACAACUUAUGUCAUCUUGAUAUGACUGAUGCAAAUUUAAUAAAGGAAAUGCCAAGUGGAAUUGGAAAAUUAACAAAUCUUCAAGUGUUGUCUAAUUUUAUUGUGGGUCAAGGUGAUGGAUUGAAUAUAAGAGAGAUGCAGAAUUUGUUAAAUCUCAAAGGUCAGCUUUGUAUUUCUGAAUUGCAUAAUGUGGAUGAAGCUCAACAUGCAUGGGAAGCUAAGCUAUCUAGUAAGUGUGACCUUGAUAACUUAGAGUUGAAGUGGAGUGCAGAUUUCAAUGAAAAUCUUAGAAAGAAAGAAGUUGAGAAAGAAGUGUUGAACUCGCUUCAACCUCAUAAAGAUAUUAAAGAGCUUGCCAUCAAGUAUUAUGGUGGAAUAGAGUUCCCGGAUUGGGUGGAAGAUGAUUCAUUCAUAUAUUUGCAAGUUUUAAGACUUGAAUAUUGUGAAAAUUGCACAUUCUUACCAGGAGUUGGAAAAUUACCACUUUUAAAACAUCUUUAUGUCAAGGGGAUGAGAAGUGUGAUUAGUGUUGGCAAUGAGUUUCAUGGAGUGAAUGGGCCAAAUGUAUUUCCAUCAUUAGAGACCUUGUACUUUGAAGAUAUGCCAGAAUGGAAAGAAUGGAAACUUUAUGAAGUUGACGAACAAGGUAAGCAAUUUUGUUGCCUUCGAGAACUCUUUAUUGAAAAUUGUCCAAAAUUAGAAAAAACUUUGCCUGAUCAGCUUUAUUCUUUGGAGAAACUUGUAAUUCGUAAGUGCCAAGAAUUGGUAGUUUCAGUUUCGAAUCUUCCGAUGCUAUGUGAACUUGAUAUUUAUGGAUGCAAAGAAGUAGUGCUUGGGAGUUAUGAUGAUCUAUGGUCAGUUAAAAAAAUCAGUCUUUCAAACAUUUCAAAGUUUGCAUGUGUAACAAAAGAAAUGAAGAUGGUAGAGUCGAUGAAAGUAGAAGUUCUCGAAAUUAAUAGUUGUGAGGAGCUGACGUCUUUGUGGCAAACAAAGUGGGGGUGGUUGGCGCCUUUGAGAUCUCUUCGUACUUUAAAGUUUGAAAAUUGUACGCAAGUUGUGUGUAUAGGAGGAGGGGCAAAGGAGGAGGCAAAAGAAGAGCUUUUGCAAUUAGAAAUACCGUGCAACAUUGAAUUUGUGAGAUUAGCAUAUUAUCAAGGGUUAGAGAGAUUAUCGAAGACCUUUCACAACCUUACAUGUCUUACACUGUUAUGGAUUGAAAAGUGCCCGAAAUUGGUUUCACUUUCAACGGACAACUUGCCUCCAACUCUUAGGACUUUGAUCAUUUGGAGUUGUGAGAAUUUGGAAUGUUUACUGGAUGACAAGGAGAAUAUCAAUUUCAGUAGCACAUCUCUUCUUCAAUCUCUUGAUAUUAGAGACUGUAAAGCUCUAAAAUCAUUAUCAUGGAGUGGUAAGUUACCCGUGCAACUUAAGAGGUUGCUUAUUUCGGGCUGUCCAGAGCUUGAAUGUUUAGCACGGGAAAUUGGGGAUAAUACUUGUCUUGAAUCUAUUGAACUCUCCAAUUGUGGUAAUAUUACAUAUUUACCCCAAGGACUGGACAAGCUCAGCCGUCUUCAAGAGAUUUCUUUAAGGGGUUGUCUAAAUCUUGUCCGUCUCCCAGAAGCUCUGCCCAACCUCCACCAUCUUCAAGAAUUGAUUAUAGAUGAAUGUCCAAGGGUGCAAAAUUCCAUCGGAGAAAGGGGUUUCCCUACCAACCUAACUUCCCUUUCGAUUAUUGAACCCAAUAUUAGUAAGGCAGUAAUGGAAUGGGGAUUGCAUAGACUCACCUCUCUUACAUAUCUUAACAUUGAUGGUAGUAAUUGCACAGAUGCGACGUCGUUUCCUCAGGAGGAGAUAGGAAUGAAGCUGCCCCCUUCUCUCACCAAUCUUACUCUCAGAAAUUUCAAAAAUGUAAGAAAGCUAUCCUCCAACGGCUUUCAAAACCUCACCUCUCUUCAAUCUUUGUGGAUCAUCAAUUGCCCAAAGCUCAAAUCCAUUCCCCGAAAGGAAAUGCUUCCCUCGCUUUUGCGACUUUAUAUUUGGGAAUGUCCGGUGCUAAAGAAAAGGUGCAAAAGGGACGAAGGAAAACAAUGGUCCAACAUCGCCCACAUACCUUUCGUAACAAUUGAUGGUAGAUUCAUCUACGAAUGAUCAAGAGGAAGAAUUAAAGCAUGUCGACUCAGGUAUUUUAAUCCUUCAACUAAUUACUAUUUUAACUGAUUUUUUUUUAAGUACAAAUAUUUCUACACAACCAUGACAUGGGUGAACAUUGAAUUUUUUUUUUUUUUUGCAUUUAAUUGUGAAAUAUUUUAGCUUUUCUUUCCCCCACAAAUGAAUCGAACAUGUAAUCUUGUGGUUCCUUGUUUAUUUGUUUUAGCAUGAAAAAUAGUAUCGAUAUGUUGCAAAGGAGAUAGUAAGGUAACUAAAUACUAAUCUGUUGACUUAUUAAAAUGGAGAUGGCAGGAAUUAUAUUCUGCAUCUAAAAUUUGAGUUCCAAAAAAAUUAAAAUGUGAUUUCAAAUUCAUUUCAUGAGCAAUCGACAAGGUUGUGCAAUCCAUGGGAGAUUACUUCAAGUAUUAUGCUAACUCAUGAUCAAUGUAGAGAUCAGAUAGUUGAAGGCUUCUCAUGUAAUUAGUUCCACCUUAAUUGAUUUAGAGCAAUUCAAGUUUAAGGUUUAACCUCUAAUAGACUCUAGCUUGGAAAACUAGGCGUUUCUCAAUGCUCCUUAUAGAGUAUGGAUGAUUUCUUGUUGUUCCAUGGUUCACAUGAGUUUCAUAAUCUGAUCUCACUUUUUUGAAGGAAAUUCAUUGCUUUCUUCAUUGUGAUUACUUUGAUGCAGCUUGCCUACAACUUAUAUCUUGUUUCUUCAGUUUCCUAUUGUCGGGUUUAUUCUUGUAGUGAUCGUUUAUAUGCUUUUCUAUCUCACCUUCUUUGUAAUAUGAAAUCAGUUAAAAUUCCAACUUUCUUUCGGGAGAGCAUUUCUUUUGUGCAUGAUUGAGUCUGGAAAUUGUCUUCCGCUUUUGUAAAAGGGGAACAAUUUCCAAAUUUUGAGACUCAUUUUCCAUUGACAAUCAAAUAUUUUUUGUUGACCAUCCUAUUUUCCAAAUAUCCAAAAAUGUAGAAGUCAAUUUCUAGAAACUAAUUUUGUGAAACAAAAAGAUUGAAGCUGAAUUCAGAAUUAAAACCAAUACUUUUAUGGCAGGUUUGGUAGACAUUAAGAAGAAGCUUCUUAGCAUUAGAGUAUGAGCAGGCUUGAAAUCCAUCUCUUUUCCUCUUAAUAAAUGGGGUUGCAGCUUUCACUUCACUCUGCACAUCCUUCAAGCUACUACAGGUGAGAACAACAAUUAGAAUUUUUCUGAUUUCUAUCUCCUUUGUGCAUAUGCAUAAUUAGUGCCUUCAUUUCAUAUCACCAAAUUAUGUUCAUUAUAUUUGAUCAAAAGCAGUAUAAUAAAUAUAGCCAGCCCACAAGAUGUUCUAACAAUUAAUGUUAUAUGUUUAUUGUUCUCUUCUUCCUUAUGCCAUGUAAGCAUCACAAGUAUUUGAGAAUCACUGUAUUAAGUUUUUUCCUACUCCGCACUAACAACAGAAUGCUUUGGCCUUGUAUGACAGGAUGAACAAAACUCAUGAUUUUGUAUCUCAUCCCGAUGCCCUCAGAAUCAAUGAUAGAAAGUUUUCCAGGCAGCAUGUGAGUGUAUCAUGUUGAAAGAAAAUUAAGAUUUUGGGUUCAACUAUGAUUCUAAAUUGGAUUUGUGUGCACUAGUGGAUUUCUUGAUCCUUUCUUCCCAAAAAUAUGAUAUUAUAAAUGGGCAGUGAUGUUGGUUCAAGAAUGUCCAAUUCCAAAGAGUUGAUGGUUAGAUAGCUGCAUAGUGUAAGAAAUUGUUACUGACUGCCAAAAGUGAUUUGAUGGAGGAAUGGGUGGCUAUGGGAAAAAUGGAUUAGAAAGAGAGCAUCUUAGUUUAAUGAACAAUUAGGCAUAGUUUCUACAGAUAGUUCACAUUUGGUGUGAGAUUGUUUCUUCUUAGCACAUUCAUGAUGAGCUAAUUUGAAUUCAUAAUGAAAUUAUUUAAUUGUUGCCUUCUAUGCUUAGACCUAUACAACCUUGGGAUGGAUAAAGGGUUAAAUAUAUGAAUGCUAAGAGUUUAAAAUGUCAUAGAGAAAGCAACUCAAGUUUCUUCCAUUUUCUUUUUCAUUGCUGAACUUUUAUGUUUCUGAUUUUCUAUUUAAGGUUUUCUCUUACAGUCAAUAUCUGUCUCAAGUUUUAAUUGGUAUGCUUUGUUUUAACUUUCAGGUAGUGUUUCUCCUGCCUGGUGGAAAAGAUGUGAAUUGAGGACUUAUGAUCUGUUGUUGCCAGGAAGAUAGUCAGGUAACUUAAUACUGAUAUGUUGACUUAUUAGAAUGGAUAUAGUCGGAGUUAUACUCUGCAUUUGAAUUCAAGUUCCAAAAAGUUAAAAUGUGAUUUAGAAUUCAUUUCAAGAGAAAUCUGUAAAGUUCCACCAGAAUUGAUCUUGAGCUAUUGAGUGUAAAGUUUAACCUCUAAUAGUUUCUAGCUUAUAAAUCUAGUUGAUAGUUUAACUUAAAGUUUAAGAGCAAUUUGUAAAAUUCUCAUAUAAAGGCUUUCUUGUUGGGAAUUUUUGUUUUUAAUGUGAAGUUUUUGGAACUCACAGAGAGUUGUUCCAUGGUUCAUAUGGAUUUCUUAUUCUGAUCUCAUUUUUUUAAAGAAAACUCAAUGCUUUUUUUGUUGUGAUUAAUGCAAUACAGCUUCCAUAUAACCUAUAGCAUGUUUGUUUGGUUUUAUAUUGUUUGUUUUGUUCUUGAAAUGAUCUUUCUUGGAUUUUCUAUCUCACCUUUCUGCAAUAUGAAAAUCAGUUAUAAAAUUCCAAUUUUCUUCCUAGAGUGAAUUUGUGCAUCGUGCAUGGGCCAUGCACUCUGUUUUAGCUACCAUUUAUAGAUGACAUUCCAUGUGUGGCGAUGAAUGUUUGGAUGCUAUCUUUUCUACAAGAGAGAAAUAAUGCUUCCCACCUUCAUUCACCUUGCGAUGAGAGAAAUAAUGUUUGGAGUAGUUCUCACAAAAAGGCUUUCAAAAGAUUUCCAUAUAGAGGCAUGGUGGCAGUUUUUACUUUUGAAAUAUAUUUUAAUAAAAAUAAUCUUUUUGCCUCAAAAAAAUUGAAAAUAACUUUUAAUGAAAACAAUGCUUCUGUCCCCACUGAAAUUUAUCAAAAUUUGGAAUUUAGACCAUAUGAAUAAAAAUCUCCUAAUACUAAUCAUGCAUAGUUAAGUGAACUUUUUCUUCACAAGGGAAAGCACUAUAUAUAUCAAUGCUUCAUAUUACCUUUAACACUUGAACCAAACCUAAACAAUGUUUCAUAAAUUUUAGCUUUACAAUCAGCUAGAUAACUUUGCCCCCAUUGAGAUAAAAUUCUGCAUUUAUCCCUGUCCUGCCUUAAAAAUGGAGAAUACUUAAUUGCCAGUCAUUCAUCUCUUUUCAAAAGGAGUGCUUUGUUCAGUUUGUAGCGAAAUAUUGUACAACUGUUCCCUGCUGAAUCAAUUGUUAAAGAGUAAGAUAGCUCUUUGCAAAAGGAGUGCUUUCUGUUGAUAUUGAUGAUUGAUUUAUUAAUUAUGUAUAAAAAGAAGCAUGAAAGCUCUUAGGUAAUACUUCCUGUUUUCCUCCUAUUCACUGCACCAUGUCUAUUUAAAAUUCCUCUCUAUCAUUAUUAGUAGAAUUCUUUUUCACUUUCAAACAGUUAAUUAAAGUUUUAUAAUUACAAAGUGCUUCUCAUGUCAAACGUGCAGGAAUUUGAGUGCGAAUUACCUAAGAAAGAAUGAAAUUCAAACCUUUGGACGUAAUUCAUUGACAACAAUUAAUACCAAUGGUAAGUUUUCAAAGGUCAAUUUUUGAAUGCAUCCUUAAUAGAAUAAAGCCUUCCUCCUAAUUAUCAUGAAUGUUAUUUUCACAAUUCUCAGUUUCUUUAUCUGAAAUUCUAAGCUUAGAUACUUUGAUUACCAACUUUCAAAUAAUUUAGUGGAGAGAAGAAGAUGAUCCCAAUGCAUUGUGAAUUUGGAAGCCAGGUAACUAUAUACUAAUUCUCAUGUUUUACAAAAUAUCAAGUAAAAUAGAGCAUCAUAAUAAUGGUCUUGUAUUCAAUAUUCAAAUUCUAAAAUUCAACAUUUCAUUGAACUAAACACUAAGGUAGUCAUGCUAUGGUUUUAGAUAAAUUAGGAGUAUUGUGGCAACCUUGGUAUAUAUUAAGAAUAAGAUUUUUAGCAUUAGAGAAUCAGCAAGCCUGAAAUCCAUCUCUUUUCUUCUUAAUGCAAAGGCUGGUGCUUUGACUUGACUCUACACUUCCUUCCAAGUACUAUAGGUGAGAACGACUACUAGAAGUUUUAUGAAUUCUAUCUGCUUUGUGCAUAUGCAUAAUUAGUGCCUUCAUUUCGUAUCACCAAAUUAUGUUAUAUGGCUCUUCAGGAAGUAUUUGUUUCUGUCAUCAUUCAUUGGAUGUGAGCAGAAGCAGUAUAAUGACAGUAGCCACUCCACAAGAUGUUCUACCAAUUAAUGUUAGAUGUCUGUAGUUCC